UUGAAUCUUUUGAUGGUUAGAUAAGGGAUGGAUAUCACUCUCGAACCUCCAUGACACGAGCUCCACAAGUCAAAGCACAUGCCGCUAACAUAGGUUGAGACCAAUGAAGUUGGGCAUUUGGUCAUGGGUUUGAAGCUAAUAAUACCCUCCAUCACCUGCAGGAUGCUACUAUGCUUGUAAACCUUUAUUCUUUUAUAUAUAAAUAUAUAGUUCAUUCAUCAACUUAUAUACAAAACUCGGAUAUAAAUGCACCUCCAAUAUGUGCUAGGUAAAUACUCUAACCAGAGUUCACCGAAUGGUCCUGAACCAAACUAGUUAAGAACCAGGAUGGUUUAGUGGUUGGGAUGGUUCGAUCAUUGAAACCCCUUGAGGCCUUCUGACCCCUUUGUCCUCUCUCUCUCCUCCUCCCCUUCUACCAUGAUUGGAGCUUUGAAGCCCCAUCGGUGUCGACAUCGAAGGCUCCACCAACCUUGACGCCACCACUAUCGACUGAUGCUGGCACCAAUCCUAAUGCCCUCGAUCAAUGCUGACACCGAUUCCAACAUAUUCGAUUGAUGUUGAUGCCCUGUAUACCUCUCUCUCUUUCUUCCUCCCUCUCCUUCUUCUCCUUCUACCUCUCCUCUUCCUCUCCCUCUCUCUCUCUCCUUCCUCUCUCUCCACCCUCAAUUCUCCUCCUUCUAGGGUCAUGGUUAGGGUUUUCUCCCUCUCUUCCUCCUCUUCUUCCAAUCCGUCAUGUCUGUCAUGUCGGCUUGCUACAAGAUGUUUCGGUACCAUACUAAACUGGUAGCUGGCCAGUCCGGGCCUGGUACCAGUUUGGCAAAAUUUGACCCUAAAAACUUAUGUUGGCCUCAUUCCUUGAUGUGAUCAUUUUCUUAGCUUGAACAACUUGAAAAAAAAUCCCCCCAUUCUUUAGAAUUUGUGUAUCGAUUUUUGUGACAUGCUUGUUAUUUUCAAACUUUUAGCCCCUUACUUGAUGAUAUUUGACAUGCACGCUGCAUAUCAUUCUAAUUGCAAAGUGUAAAAAGAAUGCCUUCUGUUUUUUCAGAUUUUAGAUGGAAAAUGCAUGUAAUUCUUAAAUCAAGAAAAGCAAAACAGUAGUCUACUACAUUGCACACAAACUUCGACACAUGUAUUGGAAUCGAGAAAUGCUUAAAUUACUCAAAAAAAGUUACUCAGCUGGUGUGGUGUAUUAUCAUUGCUCCCUUUGAAUUGUCAUCAUGAAUGUGUGCCAUUAAAUAAAGCAUAGUGAUUGGUGAAAACCACCUGAGUAACAUUUUUGAGUUAUUUUUCUGAGUUACCAUAGCAUUGCUCAUUGAAAUUAGUUUCUUGGUGUUGUAUGUUUUAGGGGUACACCAUUUUGGUACAUCAUUUUGUUAAAUUAUAUUAAGUGAUUAUUUUAAAAAUCAUACCAAGUUAAAAGGCAAAAACAUAGGCAUAUUAAUACUAGUUGGUGCAAUGAUGUACUAAUGUACAAGAAGCUAUCGAAGAGUAUUUAACAUUGGUAAACAACAAAUGGCAUAAAGGACUUAGAAAGGUGCAUAAAGGCUAAGAGAGAUAUAAAAUGCGAUUAAUUAAGUCUGAACAUUUGCUGCCUAUGGUCAUUUACAUGAUAUAUUUGGUUCAAAGGAAGAUAGGAUUGAACUUUCCUUUAAAAAAUGAGGGAAAGGGAAUAUAAAGAUGAGGAAAUUAAUGAUGAGUACCAUAAAUCUAAAUUGAAUGAAUGAUCAAUAAGAUGUAUUAAGAGUGAAUACAAUAGGAUUAGGGAAAGUGGAGGAAGAAGUUGACAGUGUUAUUUACAAAAAAAAACUAUGAAAAGAGAAUACUAAUAGAGAAAUCUCUAUAGAAGAGGCAAAAUUAAGGACUUGCCAAGUUUCUUUUCACACAGUUCAUAUUUUAAGUGGACAGUGUUUUGAAGAAGAUUCAACUAGAACCAGAUGAAAUAUUGAUUAAACUUUGGAAAAUCAUGGAGACAUUGAGAUAACUGGGAUAAUGAACUUAUUUAAUUUGAUUUUGAAAUGAAGAAACUGUCAGAGAUUAGAGAUAAUGUAUUAUAUGCUCAUUGGUAAGUAAUAUGUGGAAAUUGCUCUUAUUCUCAUGGAAUCAAAAACUUGUGAGCCACCCUAUGAAGUUAUAGGAAAGGGUAACUACACUCUGACUAAGAGAAAUGACACCAACUUUAGAGAACCAGUUAGGUUCAAUGCCAGGCAAGUCAAAAAGAACAAGUUAGGUUCAAUGCCAGGUAAGUCAAAACAUUGAGGCUAUCUUCUUAUGUAGGCGAUUAAUAGAACAAUAUACAGUAAAAGAGGAAAAAAUUCUACAUAUGUUCCUUAUCAAAUUAGAGAAAACUUAUGCUAGUGUAUCAAGAAAGUUAAUUUGGGAGCCAUAAGUGCAUGAACAAUCCAUUGAAACGGUUGACAUAUAUGCUGUAGUCUGGACCAAUGACAAGCCUUCAGUGUAGUGUGAUAUGACAUGUGCUUCCUGUCAUAUUGACCUUACACCAUAGUUCACCACUAAGCCUGUAUUCUCUUGUGCUAAUUUAGAUGAAUUACAUCUAUUGUUUAGAAAAAUUAUCACGAUUUGUACCAUGGUAUGCUGAACCGACCGGAACCGGUGCCGAUAAGCACCGAUUUGGUACAACCUAUUAUUUUUGUUCCGACCACUUCUAGGUCGGAAUCGAAUGGUUCCGUACGUGUAUCGGUGCGAACCGGCUCGGUUCGCACCCGUACAUACUUGUACCGGUGCGAACCGGCUCAGUUCGCACCCGUACAUACUUGUACCGGUUCGAACCAAGCCGAUUUCCACCGGCCCAAGCGGGGGCGCAGCAUUGUUGGGGGGUGGGCUAUGUGCGGUCCUAGAGCCCCACGCCAAUGAUCCUUUGCUCGAGGGAUUGUUGUUGUGUUGGACUGUCUUAGAUGGGUAACGCGACUAUCUCUUGCUGCCAUUGGAAUCUUGCCUAUGCUCUCCGAUGAUGGUGCUUGGCCAAGGGAAAGAAUCAAGGAUGUGGGGAUGAAAACAAUGACUAUUGCAAUAGACAACGGAUGAAAGAACUCUAGCAAGAUCGAAAAGAAAUCAUGCUAGCCUAAUACAAUCUAGAGGGGGUUGAUGUUCCCACCCCUAGACCAAGCCUUGCGGCCGAAAACUCUCCUAAGAGAACUAAAGGAAUACCCCUAAUAAUGAUGAAUUCAGAAAUUGGAUGCCCUCUGAGGGCCCUAAUGGCUUCUUUUUAUAGGCCUAUUGCUCAUGUGCCCAAUUGGCUUUUUGGCGGAAACAUUUGGGAAUUCAAAAACACUCCUAAUCUGCCACACAAGGGAUCCAAACUAAGUAUGGUCCCUUACGGUCACAUGUUGAAAUCCUGAAGUUUUUGGGCACCCAGGAUCCGUUGCAUGGCUGGCCAAUGCGUGUGUCCCGUUCUCCCUUUGCUACUUGUCCCUGCCUUGCUCCUGAUUUGGUAAGUUGUUGCGCUCUUGGCUGGCCGAAUCUUAGUCUUUGGCUGGCCACAGUUGGCCCUUGCUCCUGGUUCUCCCACGGAUUGCUGACUUAGGCCCUGUUUGGGGGAGCUUUUGGAGGGCCAGAGUGCUUUCUGGCCCUCCAAAAGUACUUUUAGAUGAAAAACUGUAUUUGGUAAAUUUUUCAAAAAGCUGUUUCAGCUUUUGCGGGAAGCUGAAAAUAGCUUUUGGGAGGAAGCUCCAAUUUGGAGCUUUUGGGAGGAAGCUAUUUCAGCUUUUUCGGAAAGCUGUAUUUUUGACAAAAAUGCCCAUAUUAAAAUAUAAUAAUUACAUAGCUUGUCCCUUUAUAAACCUAAAAAUUUGCUGGAGCCAAGAACCCUAGCCGUCAGACUCCCUUCCGUAAGAAAAGGUAUUUUUCUUUUCAAUUUUUGUAUGCAUCUCUUGAACAACAUUUUAGAAGAAAAAAUUUUUAAUCCUUCUCCGUACCUUCCAAAAUCAAUCUAUUAUUUUUUUUUUAAUCAUCAACCUCGCGGCCCACGUUGAGGUCCUCCUCGAGCGUGGACCACGAAGAAGAGCCCCUGGACCGCGAGAAAUAUUAAUAUGUUAUUUUAAAUAAUUUAAUAUUAUGUUAUAUUAUAAAAAAAUAAUUUAUACUAAUAAUUAUAAUAUUUUAUAUCUUUAUUAUUGUAUUAUACUAUAAAUAUUAUAUUAUAUUACAUUACAUUAUAAUACAUUAAUAUGUUAUUUUNNNNNNNNNNNNNNNNNNNNCUAUUAUUUUUUUUUAAUCAUCAACCUCGCGGCCCACGUUGAGGUCCUCCUCGAGCGUGGACCACGAAGAAGAGCCCCUGGACCGCGAGAAAUAUUAAUAUGUUAUUUUAAAUAAUUUAAUAUUAUGUUAUAUUAUAAAAAAAUAAUUUAUACUAAUAAUUAUAAUAUUUUAUAUCUUUAUUAUUGUAUUAUACUAUAAAUAUUAUAUUAUAUUACAUUACAUUAUAAUACAUUAAUAUGUUAUUUUAAAUAAUUUAAUAUUAUGUUAUAUUAUGAGAAAUUAAUUUAUAUUAAUAAUUAUAAUAUUUUAUACUUUUAUUAUUGUAUUAUACUAUAAAUAUAAUAUAUAUUACAUUAUAUCAUAAUACAUUAAUAUGUUAUGUUAAAUAAUUUAAUAUUAUGUUAUAUUACCAAAUAUUAAUUUACUCUAAUAAUUAUAUUACUAUUAUGCUAUAUUAACAUAAUAUUAAUUUACAUUACAAUAAUAUUAUACUAUAACGUAUAUUUAUAUACUAAUUUAUGUUAUGUUUUAUUAUGUUCUGUUGUAUAAUACUAUGCAAUGUCCUUUCUGGUAAUUUUGUCAUACAAAAGUGCUUUCUCAGUUUGUUUACCAAACACAAAACCAAGUACCACAACACUUUACGAAUGUAGUUACCAAACAGUAAACAGCUUUUUAUAACAGCUCUACUUCAGACAGCUCUACUUUCAAUAGCUCUACUUCCAACAGCUCUACUUCCAACAGCUCCCCCAAACAGGGCCUUAGCUUCCUUGGGUCCUUUGAUGUCUCGGCCUGAUGCAUCUAGGCCGCUGGCUGCCCCUGCUCGUUUCCUAUGGAAGAGUCCUUGAACUUCUCCAUAGAUUCUACUGAAGAUGCUUUUGGGAGUCUUACCAUCCUUGCUCCUUUACUUGUCCUUGGAUGCUUGACACAUGGCUCGGCCUGUUGUUGGCCGAGCCUGCUGUUGUGCUGGCCGAGUGCUUCCUUUUUUGCCUUUGGGAGCCUUAUCUUCUUUGCUCCCUUGCUUGCUCUCGGAUCCUGGACAUGUGUCUCGGCUUGUUGCUUGUGCUGGCUGAGAGCCUCCUUUUUUGAUGUUUGGACGCACAUGUGCUGAAUGAGCUAGAUGGCGUGCUGCCUCUUGGAUUGUGUUCGGUUUGGCAUGUGCUAAUGUGGUCGGGCUUGGCCUGAUAUGCCUGAUUUGCAUGGGUUCAGCUCGUGCGCAUGUUGCUGAUUUGGUUGGCCCGAUUGCACUUGACUGGGUGUUGUUGCAUGCUGCUGAUUGCAUUCGCAUGCCGAGCUUGUGUGGCUGAAUUCCAGUCCGGUGGUGCACCGACCUUGGUCCAUUUGACCGGGUAUGUGUUGCUCCCGGAUGUUGUUGCUGCUUGACCUCUUUUUUGUGCGCGUGUGCACUUAUGCGCAUGAAUGGGUUGGUGCCCCUUGUCGUCGCCCGUUGUUGUGCUCGUCCAAGGCUCAGGGGCAGCGUAUUGUAGUUGUUGCACUUGUGCCGAACGUUGGUGCAUCGCGGUUUGGCGGCUUGGCUGAGCACCGGCCGCUAAAGGCUGCGGUGAGGUCGGGCCCUUGUGUGCAGGGGUGCGCCCAAGGGUGUGGUUGUCCACUUGGGGUCGGCCUUGCACUGGGAAUGGCUUGUGCAUGGUCGGGUGCUGUUGAGGUGCGCGGUCGGUCGCGCGCGGUUGCUACGGAGUGGAUGUGCGGUUGACCGCAUGUUGUUGCUUGUGCAAGGAUUGAAGGCAUGUGCCGUACGUAGGCCGAAUGGCUGCGGUCAAGAGGUACUGCGCGAGGCCUAUGGCCGAGCGCGCAGUCCUCUUGGGCUGGUGCAUGUGGUGGCCCCGAACCUCGUGCAAGUGUUGGGAAUGGCUUGCGCAUGGUCGGGCCGGCUGCUGGUAAGGUUAGCUGAGGGUUGGGCAGACCUCCAUGCAAUGAAUUUGGCCCGAAUCUUGGCUUUUGCCGGGGUCGACCUCGAUCGAGCAAUUAUGGAUUUGGCUCGGCGGGCUAGCGGUCUCAUCAUUCCCCCUCUCUUGGAUAAGACCCUUGUCCUCAAGGGUGAUGUUAAGGACUGGGCUCCCCUCCUUGCGGGACAAGGCGUCCGCCACCUUGUUUUCUUUUUCUGGUUGAUAGAUAAUAUCAUAUUCAAAACAAAGGAGUUUUACCAGGAAUUUUUGUUGUUCUGGAGUCACAAUCUUUUGUUGAAGUAGGUGUCGUAGGGCUUGCUGGUCGAUCACGAUGGUGAAGCGCCUUCCGAGCAAGUAUGGUCUCCAAACUUUGGCUGCAUGCACCACCGCAUGCAAUUCUCGUGCAUGCAUGCUCCAAGCCUUCUUUUGCGGCCUAAAGGCUUUGGUUAUGAAAGCCAAGGGUCGCCUUUCUUGUGCUAGGACUGCACCGAUUCCUUCGUUGCUUGCAUCCGUGAAUACUUGGAAUGGUUUGCUGAAGUCGGAAAAAGCAAGCAUGAGGGUUUGAGUCAUGGCCCUCUUUAGGUUUUCAAAGGCUUGUUGGGUUGCAUUUGUCCACUCAAACCCAUCCUUCUUCAGCAUGGCCGUCAGCAGUUUUGCAAUGAGACCGUAGUCCCUCACAAACUGCCUAUAAUAUCUGGUGAGUCCUAAAAACCCUCUCAAAGCCUAGACAUCUUUGGGCAAUGGCCAAUCAGUUAUGGCCUCAAUCUUGCGUGAGUCGACGCGCACACCAUCGCCGGAAACAAUGUGCCCAAGAUACUUGAGCUCUUCUUGGACAAAGGCGCACUUGGAAGGUUUGAUGUAGAAGUGGUGUUCUUCCAAAAUACACAAGACAAGGUCUAAGUGUUGCAUGUGCUCAUCCAUGGAUUUGGAGUAGACAAGUAUGUCAUCAAAGAAAACAAUGACAAACUUGCGUAGGUGCGGUCUAAAUACCUCAUCCAUGGCAGCUUGAAAUGUAGAUGGAGCAUUGCACAAGCCGAAUGGCAUGACAAGGUACUCGUAGUGGCCGGAAUGGGUGCAGAAUGCUGUCUUAUGGACAUCUUCUUCUUGCAUCCGGAUCUGGUGGUAUCCGGCCCGAAGAUCGAGCCUUGUGAAAUACUUGGCGCCGUGGACUUCAUCAAGCAUUUCAUCAACAGUUGGAAUAGAGAAUCAGUCUUUGAUUGUAGCCUCAUUCAAGGCCCGAUAGUCAGUGCAAAAUCUCCAUGAUCCAUCUUUCUUUCCCACCAAGAGGACUGGUGAUGAGAAGGGACUAGUGCUUGGUCGGAUUAAUCCUCGUUUCAACAUAUCAUCUACUUGCUUUUCGAUUCCCCUUUUUGGAAGUGAGCAUACCUAUAUGGUGGCACGUUUAUUGGUUUGCUCUCAUCUUUCAGCCGGAUGGGGUGGUUGAAGGUGCGCUGAGGUGGAAGGGUAGUAGGCAUCUCCAAGACGCCUUGGUGUGCUUUUAUGAGUUGUCGGAUCCACAAGGGCAAGCCUCGCAACUCCUCAUCCGGCUGCGGUUGAGGUCUCUUCGCAGCCCCUUCUCGGUUGGACAGCACCACGGCGAAGCAAAGAGCUCCCCCACAGCAUAGGCAUUUGAGCAUGUUGGCCUCGCAAGGCCGGACCUUUUUGUGGUUGAGGGCUGUUCACUUCUUCCUUCCACCAAUUUUGAAUUCCAUGGUUAUCGUAUCAUAGUCGGUGACCACCUUUCCUAUACUCUGAAGCCAUGCAUUGCCAAGAACGACAUUAAGGCCUACAAGUUGUAACACAUUUAGGCCGACUGAGAUCCACCCUCCUUGGACAUUGAGCCGGACAUCCUUGACAACCUCUUGGCACUUGAGACGCUUGCCACUUGCUACUUUGACGUCAAACGGUUCGGUGGCAGCUCCCUUGAGACCAACCCGUUGAAGGGUUUUCGGAUUUAUGAAGUUACGAGAGGAACCAUUAUCAACGAGUAGGGAUACCUCGUAUUUGCUGAUCCAAGCUGUCAUCCUUAUGGUAGAAGGUCGCUGAACUCCGGAUAACGCAUGCAAGGAUAGCUCGGCAUCAUUUGAAAUGGGACUCAGGGCAUUGGCUUCCAUUGGUUCGGCUUUAGAGCUGCUGCUAUCUGAGGUUGCAACAACCUCUUCCACGGCCUCAUCCUCCUUGCAAGUGAUGUGGAUAACAUAGGAUUGGCCGGUUUUGCACUUGUGGCCCUUUUCUCACUUUGUGCAGCACUUGAAACAAAGACGUUUCUCUAUGUAUUCUUGUAACUCUUCCCGGGUAAGUUUCUUCACUUCUUUGGGCUGCGGUUUCCACCACAUGCGGCCGCGGGCUCUUCCAAACCGCAACCUACAACAUUGUGACCGACUAGCAAGCCCUACAACACCUACUCCAACAAAAGAUCGUGACUCCAGAACAACAAAAAUUUCAGUAAACUCUUUGGUUUUGAAUAUGAUAUUGUCUAUCAACUAGAAAAAGAAAACAAGGUGGCAGACGUUUUGUCCCGCAAGGAGGGGAAAUUGGUCCUUGAUAUUACCCUUGAGGACAAGGGUCUUCUCCAAGAGAGGGCGAAUGAUGAGACCCCCAACCCGCCGAGCCAAAUCUAUGGUGGCUCAGUCGAGGUCGGCCUCGGCCAAAGCCAAGACUCGGGCCAAAUUCAUCCAACCCUCGACCAACCUCAUCAGCAGCCGACCAAACCAUGUGCAAGCCAUUCCCAAAGCUUGCGCGAGGUUCGGGGCCACCACACACAUCAACCCAAGAGGACUACGCUUUCGACAAGCAAGGGAGCAAAGAAGGUAACGCUCCCAAAGGUAGAAAAGGAAGCACUCGGCCAGCACAACAGCAGGCUCGGCCAACAACAUGCCUAGCCAUGUGUCAAGCAUCCGAGGACAAGUAAAGGAGCAAGGAUGGUAAGACUCCCAAAAGGAUCUUCAGCAGAAUCUAUAGAGAAGUCCAAGGACUCUUCCAUAGGAAACGAGCAGGGGCAGCCAGCGGCCUAGAUGCAUCAGGCCGAGACAUCAAAGGACCCAAGGAAGCUAAGUCAGCAAUCCAUGGGAGAAUCAGGAGCAAGGGCCAACUGUGGCCAGCCAAAGACCAAGAGCCGGCCAGCCAGGACUGCAACAACUUACCAAAUCAGGAGCAAGGCAGGGACAAGCGGCAAAGGGAGAACGAGACACAUGCAUUGGCCAGCCAUGCAAUGGAUCCCGGGUGCCUAAAAACUUCGGGAUUUUCAGCAUGUGACCGCAAGGGACCAUACUUAGUUUGGAUCCCUUGUGCGGCAGAUUAGGAGUGUUUUUGAAUUUCAAAAUGUUUCUACCAAUAAGCUAAUUGGGCACAUGGGCAAUAGGCCUAUAAAAAGGAGCCAUUAGGGCCCUUAGAGGCAUCCAAUUUCUGAAUUCAUCAUUGUAAGGGUUAUUCCUUUAGUUCUCUUAGGAGAGUCUUCGGCCGCAAGGCUUGGGCUAGGGGUGGAUACAUCAACUCCCUUUAGAUUGUAUUAGGCUAGCAUGAUUUCUUCCCGAUCUUGCUAGAGUCUUUUCAUCCGUUGUCUAUUGGAAUAGAGUCAUUGUUUUCAUCCCCAUAUCCUUGAUUCUUUUCCUUGGCUGAGCACCAUCAUAGGAGAGCAUAGGCAAGGUUCCUAAGGCAGCAAGAGAUAGUCGCGUUACCCAUCUAAGAUGGUCCAACACAACAACUAUCCCUCGAGCAAAUGAUUAGCGUGGGGCUCUUGGACCGCGCAUAGCCGACCCGCCAACAAGCGCGUCCCGCGCCGGGCCGCAUAGAGAACCACGCCCGCGCGGACGCAUGCACGUCCGUGCGGGAUUUUUUUUUCUUUGGUCUUCACCAAUGCAGUACCGGUUCGGUUCGGUACUGUACCGUUUCCGACACCCACCGGUACAUUGGUACAAUCGGUAUGACGAACCUUGGUUGUACUUUGUAUGUUAUUACAGAUGAUAUAGUGUUGAUUUAUCAGAAAAGAACAAGAUUAAAUGCUAAUUGAAUUUAAGGAAGAAAGCUUAAAACAUAAAGGCUUAUGAAUCAGCAGAAUAAGAAUAUAACAUAUGUAAUUCAAGUUUACUGGAAUUACAAAUAUAGAUGAGGCCCUAAUCAAAAUUGUUAUAUGAGAUGUUAUGCUGUGAUUGUUUCUGUCCCCUUUAAUAUAUUAUAGAAAAAAUGGAGAGGUAGAUGAGAAUACAUCUAACAGAAUUAGGGGCAAUUGGAUGAAAUGGACACAUGCUUUUAGGUAAUUAUAUGAUUUGCACAUGCCUUGGCAACUUGAAGGAAAUAUUUUUAGAGGAACAAUAAAGGCCAGCCAAGUCAUAUACAUCAAAAUGUUGGGCAAUUAUUGAAGUCUAAGAAAAUAAGUUGGGAGUGUCAAAAAAUGGGAAUAUUAAGAUGGGGCAAUAAAUUUAGGAAUUAUAGAUAGGGAGAUAAGUAUAUUAGUAGAGUUGUAGGACUUGCACAAAAUAAGUGAUAGAGCAUUGAUUGAGAUGUCAUGAACAUAAAUAUAAUGAAGAUCUAGGGGGUUCUAGUAAAGAGUGUUACAUCAUUGUUAAAAGAGGGAAGAAGAGAGGAACUAAGAUAACAUGAUUGGAGAUUGUAGACAGGAUAUUGCAAAGCUUGAAAUGCAAUCAAAGGUAGUCCUAAAUAGGAAUGUUUGGUAAAUCCUCUCCAAAUAUUUUGGACUGGGCUUGAUGGUUAUGUUUCCUUUUCCUCAUGAUUAAGGAACAAAACAAGUUAAUUGAAAGUGUUAAAUGAAAACAAGAGAAAGAUAAGCACUUAGAACUUAGAAUUAAAGUAUCAACUAGAAAAGGAUUAGGAGAGACUAUACCAGAAAUAAAGCACCAUAUCCCAUCAGUACACCAUUUUGAAGUGUUCUGGAGAGGACAGUUCUAGAAGUCCUUAUGUUGUAUCCCCUCUGUAUGAAUAAUGAUUUUAUGUAUUUAAUCCUAAAAGAGAAAUGCAAUCCUUUACAUAAAACCUAGUCUUCCUUUCCUUGUUGUUAAGACUAUUUUAAUGUAUAGAAAAAUGCUAAAUGAUUUCUGUUCAGUUUCUAGGUUCAACUGGACUUCUAGGUUCCAUAGCAAGCCCUUUGCUGCCUGAAGAGCGUUUUUCUAGGAAUUCAGCACUAAUUCUUAGAAUGCAAUGAUAGUAGGAAGUAAAAUGGAUGUAUGUAUGGCUAUUACAUAUUCAUUGUAGCUCAACUUUGAGCCAUUUUAGGCUAAUUUUGCAGAAACCUUCUUUUCUUAAGACCUUAUGAACUAUUUUCUUUACCUUAUUCCUUUUAGAUACUAUAUUAAUUAUAAGUUGAUGAAGAAGCGAGUGAGGCAGUAUGUUCAACAAACACAGCAAGGUGAAAAAAACCGUCGCCAGAUUCUCAAAGAAUUCUCACGGAUGCUAGAUGACCAGGUUUGUGAAAAUUAUUUGUGGAUUUGUGUUGACAGAUUGUUGCAAAUAUGUUGCAUUUCUCGUCUAGGUACAUGGGCAUCUGUGUGCAUGUGCACCUAAGCAUGUCAAGUCAUGCCACAUUAUUACAUGCAUAUCUGUAAUAUGGUUCAAUAACUUUAGCUCAUGUCGUUUUAUAUAUCUUAGUGUGAAAUUUAUUGUUGUUGUGAAGCUUAUUUGGAUACCAAAUAGAAAUCUUGGUGUUAGAAUUUGGCAACAUUAGAUUCUAGAAAUAAUGAUGUAUCCACAUGGUCAUGUUUUUAUCUUUUUUUGGGGGCAAAUACCCUUUGCCACCAUGUCAGUGUGACAUUCUCAUGUUCACUUCUUAACUUAAUUUACUGAUUGUAAACGAUUAUUUCAUUAGUGAGAACUUUUUUUGACCUUUAUCAAAGCUGAUGUUACCAUGUGUGACCUUAAAAGAGCUCCAGUGUUUACAAGGACAAUCAGCUUUGAGAGUUACAGGGAGCAAAACUCAUAUAACCAGUGUUUAUUCACUAAGUUUCAGGGGAAAAACCAAGGAAAAAUACGUAUAGAAGUCAAAUAAAUAACUAAAAGGGGAAAUGGUUGUGAGAGCAAAUAGGGUUUAGGUCUGGGAAUUAGGUUCAAAGAUUGUGUCCAGAGCAGGAAUUCAAAUUCCAGGUGUUGACCAUCCAGCAUAGUAUGUAUCUGUCGUCAUGUUGUUUAGACACAAGCUGUGCUGUGUUCUGCAAAAAGAAGACAAAUUAAUAAAAAGUUUACAUAGUUUAGAGUGGUACAAAACUACAAAUCAUAUGCCAUGCCAAACUGGCAUGACCGAUAUUGCUGGAAUGAACCUAUACCCUGUGAUAGACAGGGUAUCGUGGCACACACGCUCGCCUAAUGCUUGCAUGCCUAGUGCUAGCAUCUUGUUGGCAUGCUAGAGCACAUCAUGGACCGACAUGGUUGGCCGUUGAAUCCUUGGCCCAAAAUGAAGUUAGAUGAAUUGAGCAUUAUGUUGGUUGACUUGGACCCAGCAACCGCAACCACCAGAGCCCAAGUGCACUUAUUGAAGGUCCCUUUUUUUUCUUUUUUGGGUGAAGGCCCUUGAUCUUUGUAAGACUAAUACAACAUUCAUGGUAGAGAGAAGAAACCAAGUGUAAGAUAAUUGAUGUUAAGCUCAGUGGCGAGUUGAAUUGGUGUGUUUGCUGAAGGAGCUAGCACGCACACCUCUAAAUAUGCUACUAAUCUUAAAGUAAUUUUUUGAUUAUUAUUUUAUUUUUAUUAAUUUUCAAUCAAAAAUAUAUUUUAAUUUGAAAAAUUAAAGAGUUAAUGAAACAUCAUAAUUUUGGCGGCAUUGCGUAGAUCAUUCAUAGAACUACAACAUAUCAUGAAAUCAUGCCAAAAAUAAAAUUUUUUGCAUGAUUUUCCCUCAUUUUCUCAUUUUCUUGCCUCAAAAUUGAAAAAAGAGGGAGAGGACCAUUAUUAGUUUUCACCUAGGAUCUAGCUUAGAUCCGAUAAAAUCUGGCCCUUGUAGUGAUUUUUCAUGAUUUUUUAAGAAAAGGUGUGGGACAGGCUAAGGCAUGGGAGGCCUUCUCAGCCUCCCACCUCUUUUAUUAAAGCGCUCGGGGAAGGGAGUGGGGUUGGCGGUAUUUUUGUGCAAAAUUGGGCCAAACCGAGGUACCACUCAAGCGCUUCGGCCUCAGUUUCGCACUAAGGGGGGAAACUGUUCUAAUUCUCCCUUGGAAUGGUUUGGGGUGGUACAGUGAACCAUGAGAACAAGAAAUGAUUAGAGCAGCCAUGCUAGUUGACUUAGUUGAGGAUACUAUGGUAAACUAGCAAAUGUGCAAUGAACGGUUGAGGGAAAACUAGGAGGGAGAUUGCAUUCAUGUUUAAAAGUAAGUUAGGGGAUGGAAAAAGGAUUUGAAUUUUGAAAAAGCUUUGUCAAUGGAUAUAUUGUGCUGAUCGACAUGAAUAUUCAAAAGGGUUGAUUAAACUGAGCCUAGAUAUUCUGUGUAAGGGUGGUCUCUUUGAUGAAAACUAACCAACAUAACCUUAAUACCUUAUAUUUGAAGAUAUAUUUAAUAAGUGAUACUGAAACAGAUUCUGCAUAUAAUAUGGAUUAUAGAACCUUCCAUGCUUGCUGUAUAGCUGACCAGGAAUUAAUUGCUUCAACACACCAUACUAACUAUACAACUGAUGAGAUGAUUAACAAGCCACACAAUUGAAUAAUUAUAUUGUGAAAUAUUAUUAAUGAAUCAUAUAAUAUAUGAAUAAAAUGGUUGCCACAUCACAAAGUGGUGCUCUAUUGAUAUAUGAUUAGUACAGAGCAAGAUGGUACAUGGUGUGUUAUGGUCAUCAAGUGCAUGGUGAGCACUGAAAAUACGCUGGUUAUGUUAUACAAUCUUGAUAACCUGCUAUGAUGACAAUUAUAUGAUCUGUUACAUACUUUGGUAAUAAUGUGUAUAUUGUGAUUUUUUGAGUAAAUUGAUGGUAUUAUAGGCUUCGAUUGAUAAAGAAGUGGGUUUCAAUGAUCUAAAAGGUGUAUCACAUAAAAUGAUAGAUGAUUGGUACAUGAGCAAUGGCACAUCAUGCGACAUUUAAAAACACAUAAAUGCAUUAAAUGAUAUGAUUGCUCCCUACUUUGUGUGGUCAAUGUCGUACUUGAUAGUCGAUAGUUAAUGGUGGUUGAUGAUUGCUGCUACAUAAUGUGUCGCAUCAUAUAAUGAGCAUGAAAGUUGCAGGCAUUUCUUGUUUAUCGCAUGAUUAAUUGUUGGCCACUAUGAUUUUUAGAGUGCAUCAUGAACAAUGUUAUCUAGAAACUUCAUUUUUAAGCUGUCGGGAAGUGUCCAUAAUUUUGGACGCUUGGACAUGGUAGGACAUGACGUGGCAUGGCUUGACACUUCACUUCGAAGUGCCAUGCUGAUGUCAGCAGAAAGUGUCAAAUACUUGGCACUUUUUUGGAGCAUCAUAUAGCGUACUUUCAAUGAAGUCGCCUGUUAGUUUUCUGUUUUGGAUACUUUCAAUGAAGUAUCCUUAAGGUUUUUUUUUGAACGCAUUAAGUGAAGUGUCCUUACAUUCUUCUGGACACUUCAAGCUAAGUGUCCUUAUAUGUUUAAUAUAAAGUUAUUGAGAUUAUAUGGACACCUUAAGCAAAUAUCACUAUAAUCUAAAUAUAAGUAUAUCAUGGUUCGUCAAAUAAAUUAAACAACUUGCAGACGUAUGGCUAUUCCAUUAAUUUGCUCUUUAAAUAGCUCCUAUAAUUCUAAGUUUCUUGCUUUUUUGAAUAAGCAUCAAAAGACAUGCGCACAUGUAUAUGCUACCUCCCCGUGCCAAGGUUGUUGGAGGCUGCCAUGUCCGACACUUGAGGACAUUUAGACACUUGGUCCUCAUGUCAAGUGUCUUGGUAACACUAUGCAUGAAAUUAUGGGUGUAAGCACAUGAUGAUAUACUAGCAAUAGUUAGGAGGUACAUGAUGUAUUUUAUAGUCCAUCAUUCAAUUCAAUCUUAAGCAAAGUUUGAAAUAUUGGUUUGUAUGGCAUGUGGCCAUUGAUGUGCAUUUUAUGGAACCCUUGGCAAUACAAAAGGGAUAUAUAUUCAGACAAAUACCACCCAAACCACUGAAACAGACCCGGACCUAGCGAUUUGGUGCAGAUUGAGGUCACUUUGUCCCAAACCAAGCCCAAACCAAUCCUAAAUUGAGUUGUGUUAGGAGGUACCUCUUGGGAUAACUAAGAGGCUCCUUUUGCAAUUGUUCCCCACUAUUUGGAGCUCAAAAUGAAGCGAUAAGGAAUACUUUCUAGCAAGAUUCGCGGUCUUAUUACUGAACCCCGUACCGGUACCACACCAGCACUGUGUCGGUACAGUAUGAUACGGAAUCUUUUUGGCACAUCGAGUGUCGGUAUGCCACCGAUAUGGUAUGCCUUGUACAACCCUGUUCAGACCGGUAUGGUGAACUAUGCUGCCUAGGGAGAUUGAUCUGUAGGAUUAAAACUUGAUUUUUGUUUUUUAACGUUCUAAAAUCAUUCUAGCUAGGUAAAAUUUCUCUCGCUCUUUUUCCUUAUUUCUUCAAAAUCUAGGUGGAAUUUCAUGUUUAAUAGAAAAAAAUCAUGGGGUAUUUUGUCAAAUGAGGACUAAAUAUUGUUUGAUCUGAGAUUCAUGCAUAAAAACAAUUUGGAUCCAAAUCAAGGAUUUUUUUUUAUGUUUUGGGUUGAACAUUAAGACUUGUAUCCAAAAAUUACAUAGAUCUUGUUGCCCAGANNNNNNNNNNNNNNNNNNNNGGAAACUUGCCUAGACAUUUCUUAACAAUAUUCUUAAUAAAACACAUGAAAUCCUCAAUUAAAUUGUUAAGAUAAAUGGAAUUAUACUCUAGUGUUUUGUAUUCAUCAAAAUCCAUUAGGGGGUCAACAGAUCUGAAUAACCCAGAAAAGACUGUACCAAGGGUGUUCAGCCAUAUCCAUGCAUACCCAUCAAUUGGCACGAUUCUCAGUAUGCACAUGCUGCACCCACUCUAUGUUGGUAUAUCACUUUACCUCGAUUUUUUGAACUUUGGUCUUACUAUUGAAUUUAUAUUAUCUUGACCUUACAAUAUUUACACCACAAGGUAUAAUUUGGAUAUAAAUGUUAAGAGGGGGCGAGGGAGGGAGGGAGGGGGAGGGUGCAUGCAUGAGAAAGAUCGAGAGAGAGAGAAAGUGAUAUUGCAAAUUUUAAAACAAAGGAAAAUACAUUGUAUAUUUAAAUUAUUCCUUUUACAUUAAUAGGUAAUGGAUAACCAGACUUUUUUAGUGAAUAUGUUUUGCCACAUUCCUUAACUUCCCCCGCUGUCAUGCUUUUUGGAUGGCCUUCUUCGUUAACUCUCAUUUUUCUUGUGGACCUUUUGAAGUUUCACCUAUUGAAUGGAGGUCUGUUUGUAAAGAUGCUGCCUUUGCAGUAUAAUGGAACAGUUUGAAUUGAAAUAAUGAAAUAGGACCUAAAAUACAAAUGAAAGAUGCUACAAUGGUGCUUAAAAUUUCAAAAUAUUUAUUGAAUGGCUCUUUGUUUAUGUUGAUUUAUUCUAUCACAAACCGAGGGUGCGUUUCAAAAUUAUCCUGAUAGUUGUUUUUAGCUUCUUUUUUGGGGGUAUAUAUUUCUUGCGAUCUUCAUGAGGUUUGCUUCCUAGUACUUUAGUCUUGUUUCCCUUUCUAGCAAUACAAGUCUGUCAAUACAAAUACAUACAUGAACCAUGUAAAAAUACAUUCAUAAGCAUGUAUAUGCACAUGUAGAUACAUCAUAAAUAUACACUAUAUAAAAAGGUACCAGUUGAGUGUUCUAGUUACAUUAUUAUUGCCCAAAGUUGGAGAACAAUUAUUUUCCAUUCUUAUAAAAUCAUAAUUUUCUUCCUUAGCAUACUGGGAGGUGCAUAUCAUUGCAUGCCUAUGUAAGAGAUGGUCACAUCCUUCCUUGCAUCAAAUUGAAAUACCCCUUCUGCAUCUUUAUUGACAUUUACUCUCACACAGCAAUUAGCGUGUUUCUUCUUUUUGUUAUUAAAUCUUCAUUAUACAUGGUGUCCUACAAAUUUGAGAACUAAAACUGCUUGUUCGAGUGCUCCAGUUUUGAUUAAUACUAGAUUAUGGUAUAAUAUGAUUUCUUUUUACUUGGCUGGAAUUUCAAUUUUCAUGUUUCAGAAUAAAAGCUACUUGCUGCAGUUGUUUUCUUAUGGUUUGUCAUUGUUUUUGUUUCAAUCUAGAUUGAAAAGAUUGUCCUUUUUAUGUUGGAACAACAAGGAAUUCUUGCAAGCAGGAUUGAAAAAUUGGGUGAGCAGCGCAAAGUCCUUCUGGAGCAGCCGAACAUAUCUCAGAUGUCUGAACUGCGAGAAGCUUAUAGGGCAGUUGGGCAUGAUCUUUUAAGGCUUCUUAGAUUUGUUGAUCUGAACGCCACUGGCAUUCGUAAAAUAUUGAAGAAAUUUGAUAAACGCUUUGGCUAUAGAUUCACGGAUUAUUAUUUAACUACUAGAUCAAAUCAUCCUUAUUCUCAGCUACAGCAGGUCUUCAAGCACGUGGUAACGUAUCUAACCAAAAUGUACUAUCACAAAUGUUACAGUAGUGAAGAUAACUAGGCCCUCCUGCAUUAUCCAUUUCCUUUUUUUCAAGUACUUCUCCAAGUUGUGUUAGAAUUGUAGUAUUUGCUCUCCUAUGUAAAAUAAUUAGAUGGGCUAUCUUUCCCAUGAAGCACCAUCUUACGAAGAUGUUGUUGUCUAAGUAGGGCAUUGGGGCUGUUGUAGGAGCAUUGUCACGCAACCUUGCAGAUUUUCAAGACCGUCAAGGAAGCUACUUAUCCAUUUAUGAUCAGCCAUCUGAUGUUCCAAAGGUUUAUUAACACUUUAUAGUUUAUAGUUUAUACAUUGUUCAUGGACUCAUAGAAGAUAACUGUUUCUUGUGUGAACGUUUUUAUUGAAGAACUUUUACUUUUAUCUACAUUACCUGUAUUUCUCUGCAUCUAGUGCAGGACCCUAUUGUUGACCUGAUACAAGCAUCAGUAGAUAAGCUGACACGUUCAACGAACUUCCUUCAAUUUUUGGGACAACAUGCACUUAUUAUCCAAGAAGAUAUACCCAGUUCAGCAGAGGAUGAAAUUGAUGACCAAAGAUAUCAUUUUAUGUCUCUUCUGUUAAACUUGGCAAACACCUUCCUUUACAUGGUCAACACAUACAUCAUUGUUCCAACAGCAGAUGACUACUCAUUGAGCCUGGGAGCUGCUGCCACAGUUUGUGGUGUUAUUAUUGGGUCAAUGGCUGUUGCACAAUUGUUUUCUUCAGUGUAUUUUAGUGCAUGGUCAAAUAAAUCAUAUUUCAGGCCACUAAUAUUUAGCAGUAUUGUGCUUCUUUUGGGCAAUACUUUAUAUGCAUUGGCUUAUGAUCUUAACUCUAUAGCAGUUCUUCUUAUUGGUCGUUUGUUAUGUGGGUAAGUGGUUUCCUUCUUUUCCUGUGAAAGUAAUGGAAAUUCUAUUAUCUGAGUGUUUUUAAUGUUAGCUUGAUUUAUCUGGGUCUUUAGUUCAAUAGCUAUAUGACUAUGUUCUCUAUGAUCUUAUCUUUAAUGAGUAUUCUGCUAAUCCGAUUUUGUGCAAAGCCAAGAUGAUCCACGUGCAGUAUUAUGUUAAUCUUUAAUAAGGGUUCAAUAUGAGUAUGUUCCAUUUCUUGCAUGAAAUGUCCACACUUCAAAGCCAAGAUGAUCCUGCACCUUGUAACAUAUAUGUGAAAUUAUCUGAAGUUAUACAUGAACAAGAGCCUGGUGCAGGAAUACUUUUUAUGUUGUAAUGCAACAACAUAGACUCCUUGUAUCCCUCCCCUCCCCAUUUCCUUCUCGGCCUUUCUUGUUGAAUCAUUAUAGUGGAUAGCAGCAUUCUUCAGUUGGAGGCUAAUAUAGUUUCAUCAAAAUAUCAGAUGGUGUAGAACCAAGGUUUAAAGUGUUGUUGCAUGCAAGGUACGUCAUAUCAGUACCGGGCCCCGUACCGGUGCCACCUUGUCAUUAUGUCGGUAUAUCCGAUAUAGGGGUCAGUUCAGCGUACCGAGUGUUAGUAUGCCCCCAUACCAUGUACCACUACCAAACUAGUACGGUACGGUAUGUCUCAUACCGCCCUGUUUAGUACGGUAUGGCAUACCUUGGUUGCGUGCCUUAUCAAAUUGUCUGAUAUAUACUUUUGUUGGGCUUAAGGUAAUUGUAUAGACCUACUGUAUCUAUUAGGGCCAUAUUUUGUUGGUUAUCUUCUCAUAUGCAGAUUACUCGCAACUCACAUUGUGUUACAGUUUAACACCAUUAGUGUACAAAAAGUAAAUGCUAUUUUGAGUCAUAUUAUUGAUCAGUUAUACUACUUCCUAUCACCUGGUAUACUUCAAUUUUAUAGAACAAAUAGAUAUUNNNNNNNNNNNNNNNNNNNNNNNNNNNNNNNNNNNNNNNNNNNNNNNNNNNNNNNNNNNNNNNNNNNNNNNNNNUGGGAGACAACGUGAAGGGCCUUUAUAUGGUUCUCAUUGCCAAAAAUUCUUGAAGUCAACAUAGUGGUAAUAAAGCCAGUAUAUUGUGACAUGUAAUUGAGACCAGAAUAGAGCUAGACAUGGAGAAGCUUUGGGAGUGUCCCAAAUUCCAAAAGCAGGAUCAACUUAUGUUCCACAUAUGCUCCACAUGUAUAAGAUUCAGUUGUUAUGGGAGACACAAGGCAUUUGCUGAUUUUGUAUUGUUUGACGAUACAAUUAUUGAUGUGUGUUGGCUUCUUGUUUUCAAUUCAUCUUACAUGUGUUGGUAAAAUUAAACGAUCCUAUUUUUAUUGUUAUGUAAAGUACUGAGUUGAAUUGAAAGUGGUUAUGUCAGUUGUAAGUAAACUUGCCAGCUAGGUAUGCUACUAUCUAAAUAAUGUUUAUUAGGACCCCAAGUAUGCUUGAAAUCACUCCGGUUGUUCUUACAUUUAAAUGAGCCUAAUGCCUUUUGUGAAAUAAUGAAGUUCUUAGAAAAGGAGGAAGUAAAAUAGUCUAAAGUCUACACAUAUUGCUUUGAAUCUUUGAUGAUUUUACAUGUCUGUUUUCUCCGAAGCAUGAUAACAUAGUGCAAGAUACAUAUGAUAUUGUACAGCUUGCUGACACUUGGUUAUGUCACUUUGAACAUUAUUUUUGCUUUAAUGUUCUGUUACUUAUAUCAUGUUUGAGAAACUAAUACACAACUCAUUUAGAACAAGAAAAAUAAAAGUGAAAUUGAACAAGGCUGAAGACUUGAUAUAAUUUGCUGUAGAGAAGGGCAUAAUUCAUACUUAGCUUGAUUCUUCAGACAAUAACUUGAUUCAUGUUAGGAUGAUGAUUUAACACCAUGAUAAUAUACUAAACCAUAAAUUUAAGAGUCAAACAGCUAAUUCAACAGAGCGAGACUUCACCCUUUUAUUUGUUAACUGAUAAUUAUUUAUGGAUUGUGUGACAUCUCAUAUAAAUACAAAAACCAUUAUGAAAUGAAAUUCUAGGAUGGAAUUGUAAGUGGAGUAACUUCAUUUUAGGCUUGUCUGUGUUAAUACGUUGUUCAUCAAGACCUAUCUUUGUCCAUGUGAAUUCAUUCUCAUGUCUUAAUUCUUGUGGCUCUCAGCUCACUUUUUUUUUAAUUUCUGAGUUGCUUAUUUUUCUUAGGAAGCUAAUCAUCUCCCUAUAGUUCUUUCCCCCUAUUCUUAUUUUUCAAUGUUGUUUUGAAUGACCAGCGUUGCUAAUAAACAAUCUUUAUUCUCUUAUGAUAGUUAUCUUACCCUUACUGGAAGAAGGCUAUAAUAAUACCUCAUGUACAAAAAAGUUAUAUUCUGUAGCAGGCAAGAUCUAACAUUUAAGCAUGGUAAUCUGAAGAUUUCUUGGAAAAAACUUGGUCUUAAACUCUCAUGAUUAGUUGCUUUUUUGGGUCACCACUCACCAAUGCAAUAAAGGUUUUGUAGAUCUUUCCAGUUAAUUACAGAACUGACACUACAUGGGGUAAUGAUCGACAGUUGAAUAUACUGUGGAAAAUAAUACAUGUCCACUUUUUUAUGUGAAGUUUCUUUAUUUUAUUUAUUUUCUGAUAAUAAUGUUCAUAUGCAAUUAUUGAUCACAGUUGAGCACUCUUUUUAUUUCAUUAUUUUGGAAUUUAAUUUCUCUAUAUGUAUUUCUGAGAUGGAUUUUAUCUCAAAUGCAGGAUGGGCUCUGCAAGGGCUGUUAAUCGUCGUUAUAUCAGUGAUUGUGUUCCUCUUAAAAUCCGGAUGAAAGCUUCUGCAGGUUUUGUUAGUGCGAGUGCUCUAGGAAUGGCUUGUGGUCCUGCUCUGGCAGGCUUGCUCCAAACUAAUUUCAAAUUUUAUGCUAUAACAAUUAAUCAAGACACUUUACCUGGUUGGGUAAUGGCAUUUGCUUGGCUUAUAUAUUCAAUCUGGUUGUGGAGUUCAUUCAGAGAGCCAGUUCAUGGCACCAAAGUUAAUGAUGUCCCGCAGAAUAGUGAUGCUGGUAUAUUAUAUUUGAUCAUCCUUACUUAAAACAUAUUCAUGGACAUUUAUGAGUAUGCAUACACACACUCACAUACACAUACAUGCACGUAUAUGUGAAUACGUAAAUGCCAGUGGCAUUGCACACUUUUCAUUCUUUUGCAGUGGAGUGUGGAACUUUUUUGGCCUUAAAUGUGCAUCACUAUCAGUACUUACUUUAGCUUUUUGGUUGGUGUUUAUACGUUUGAGGCUCAUACCCCAUCUCUGUAUAUUAUGCAUGUAACCUAUCAAAAUCAAGAACAUGGCAUGAUGUAUUCAAACCUUGUACCCACAAAUGGAUGAGGGAUAUUAUGAGUAAUCUCAUCAAAUGGUUGAUGUGCAGUGGAUUUUAUUAGUAGCCUUUUAGAUGGCAAAUCAUAUUUUUUAGGCCAUCUGCAUCAUAUGGAAAUUUUAUUUGGAUUUUACUAACUCAUUGCUUAAUAAAGAAAGAGUCAGAUUUAUUGGUUGACGAUGUCAGUUUUCAAGUUGUUGGAUUGAACUAGCUAUUCUAUUUAGCAAUUCAAAAACUGCAUGAAAAGAUAUUAUGAGAUGCUUACUGAGUGGGCUUCUUUUUUUCUUCUCAGCAGCAGGACAUGAAGAAAAUGAUGAACUAGAAAGUGGCCUUGUGCGCCCUUUGCUCUUAAGUUCAGAGAACAAACAAAAUGAAGAUGGAGACCAGGAUUAUGAUGAUAGUGAAGAAGCCUCUGAAGAUUCUCACAUGCCUGCAACUUCAAUUGCUUCAGCUUAUAGAUUACUUACACCAUCAGUAAAGGUUUGGAGCUCUAUUCUGAGCCUAUGUCUUUUGAGUGCACUGACUACAUAUAAUGCAAUUUUUUCUUUUCCUUUUCUGGCAUUUUUGCAUGGCUAAUUUCAUAUUUACCCUCCAGAAUCAUUAUUUACAUAUGUACCCCUCAGAUCAUCCUAGUUUUGCAAAGUUGCCCCACCUGUUAGAUUUCUGACUAUGGUGUUCAUGACCAUUCGAAGGCUGAAAGGACACUGUUACUGUUUUGCACUAUACAUCUGAAAAAUUCAAUAUUCGAUUUGUGCUAUGAAGAGCUAUUUUUUGCAUAUAUUCGUUUGGUGGUAAUAAAGUCAUAUUAUGGUUAAAAUAAUUGUUUGUUAACAUAGCCAAACAUCUAAUUGAAGGGGUAUUGAUGUGAUAAUAGGAUGAUUUUAGGGAUAUAUAAGCAGAUAGUAAUUUUUGGAGGACAAAGCCUUUUUUUUUCCAAUCAAAUUUUCCAAGAUCUUGUAUUGUAAAUAUCAUAUUGGUGAUGGUAUAUACAAAUUUUUAGGAGUCAUAAAUAAGUAAAAUAUUUGUUUCGAAUAGAAAGAAACGGCUUAUGCACUAUGAAUCUUUACAUUUAAUUUGUAUUAAAGAGCCUUUAUUUAGAUUUAGAGUGAAAUUUCAAAUUAAUGUCAUUUUUUUAUGCAUCAUCGUGUGCAAGAUGUGAUUAUGACCCUUAUGGCAUAUCAUUGUUGAAAAGCAAAAUUUAUAUUUGUAAUCUUUAAGCCUAAUUAUUGUUUCUCUACUUGUUUAUCUUAUUUAUGAAAUUAUGCAACAUACAACAAUCCUCCAUAAAGAUUGUGAUAUCACAAAAUUUUGACGGUCAGAUUUUCGAUACAUGGGUUUCAGAAUAAGAGAGCAAAGCUGUCUUUUCCCAAGGAUAAGAGAGUCAAUUGUGGAAUGCAUGAAAUUGAGCAUUCAAAGGGGGAUCCUUCAUAAGGGACAUCCAAUGUCCAGAAGGACUUGAGGGCUUGUCCUUUGAUGACAAACAUAAACUUAAAUAAGACUUCUUCAGACAUAGUGAAGAAAGAAGUGGUGGAAUAAAAGAAUGAAAAGACAGAAGCUACUUAUGAGAUGGUACAAGAACAGCAGAAGGCUCCAUAAGGGAAUUGUAAGUUAUUAAAAUUGUAGAUUAAGUGCAAGGGGUUUCUGGGUGAUGGCUUCAAAUAGUUAAUUACUAACUUAAAAAAUGUGGCACGUCAAGAAUACACAGAUGCCGAGUAGAGAAAUCAUAACUAGAACAAUUACUUGUUUCAAAAAAUGCAUCCAAGGAGGACAUACUUAGGGUUAUUGGGAGAGUGAUGCCUGAAAGGUAUCAUUCUACAUGGACAGAGAUCAUAGAACCAUCAAAAAGCCUACAACUAGUGGUGGGCCAUUUAGUGUGGUAACUUAGAGUUGACAUUAUCUGCAAGCUUAGAGCAAAAAGGUGGCAUUAUCGAGUUAAACUACUCCAGUCAUGGUUUUGUAUGCAUGUUGAAGUUAGAAAUAUGCACACUUAUCACAUAAAUCAACUAACAAAUUUCAUAGGCUCAUUAUACAGUUUUCAUACCGACAAUUACAACCGGUGGAUCAAUGUAUAUCAAAGAGGUCUAGAAGUAGCAUUAGUGUUGCCCAAGGUGACAAGCCAAGAGGGGGGGGGGGGGUGAAUUGGUUUUUCUAAAUUUUUUCAAUCCUUGAAUUAAAUCAAUUGAUGAGUGAGUGGUUUAGUUAAUAUUAAUUAAAUGCGUGUAGUGAAGUUAGAACAACACACAAUACAAACACACAAGAAGUAUAGUGGUUCGGUGCUCUCCUAAGCACCUACAUCCACUCCCCAAGCGUUCCCUUGGAAAUUCACUAUAAUCCCACGGAUUAUUGUUGGAUUGUUUUCCGGGAUCACAAUCCAAAAAUCUUUAAACUUUGGUUUUUCAGGAUCACCCAAAACCUAUGUUGGUUUUGCGGGCUCACCAACAAACCUUCACCGUUGGUUUUACGGGCUCACCAACAAACCUUACAAAGUAAUAAAGAAGAAAGAGUUUGAAACUCCUAAAAGAGCAAAUAUAACAAUUUUACACUAAUAGAAGAGAAGAGAAAACAGUUAUCACUUUGAGGAUGCUUUUCUCUUCUUUGCCAAGGUUCCUUCACUUCACAAUAGUUUGGUGGAGCUGUUGAAUGCACAUUCAGAUUGCUCAACCACCUCCUUUUUGAGACUUAAAUGGAGAACCUUGAAGAAGGAUGCUAGGGCUUGCUUUUUCUUGAAUGAACUUUGAUUUCUUGGCAAAAGAUGAUUCCUCUGAUGAAUAGUGACACUUUAAAUACUUACCCACCUCUAUUGGUCACUCUCCACUGGUUAGAGUUGAAAAACUAUCCGUUACUAGUCGUUGGGAGGUCAAAAAGCACUUCUGCAGAACUAGCCUUCUCCUGAAAUGAUAUGGCCUAAAUACUCCAAUUCAUGUUGCAUGAAUGCACACUUGGAUGCCUUGAUGUAGAAUUGAUGCUCCUCUAGGAUUCUUAGGACCAACUCCAAGUGUUCCAAGUGCUUCUCCAUUGUCUUAGAAUAAAUCAGAAUGUCAUCAAAGAACACAAUUACAAACCUUCUUAGAUAGGCCCGGAAGAUGUCAUUCAUUGUCGCUUGGAAUGUUGAUGGUGCGUUACACAAACCAAAGGGCAUGACUAGAUAUUCAUAGUGGCCCGAAUGUGUUCUAAAUGCAGUCUUGUGUAUGUCUUCAUUUUUCAUUCUGGUUUGAUGAUAUCCGGCUCUCAAAUCAAGCCGAGUAAAAAUUGUGGCACCAUGAAGUUCAUCCAACAUUUCAUCCACUGUUGGUAUUGGAAAUCUGUCUUUGAUUGUUGCUUCAUUGAGGGCUCUAUAAUCAGUACAAAAUCUCCAUGUGUUAUCUUUUUUCCUAACCAAGAGGACGGGUGAUGAAAAGGGACUAGAACUUCUCCUAAUUAGUCCUUGCUUAAGCAUGUCAUCAACUUGCUUCUCAAUUUCUCCCUUUUGGAAGUGGGCAUAUCUAUAUGGUGGGACAUUCACGGCUUUGGAUUCAUCCUUAAGGCGUAUAGGAUGAUCAUAUAACCUUUGAGGGGGCACGGUCUUUGGUACUUCAAGGACUUUCAAGUGUCUUUCUAGUAAUGGCCUCACCGAACUAGGGACUUCUUCUAACUCAUCUUUCAUGGACUUUGGUUCGGUUUGGUCUUGAGUGGCUAACACUAUUGCUACACAUAGGGCACCCCCUUUGCAAAGUCUUUCUAAGGUAUAAGCCUCACAAGGUUUAACUUCACUACUCCCUAAGGCAACCCACUUCUUCUUUUGACUACCCAAUUUGAAUUCCAUUGUCAUGGAUCCAAAAUCAGUGAUCACCUUUCCCACUUGUCGUAACCAUGCAUUUCCAAGGACUAUGUCAAGGCCUACUAAUUGAAUCACAUGAAGAUCAGCCAUGAUUCUUACCCCUUGAAUGUUCAUCUUCACUUCUUGAAUGACUUCCUUGCAUGUUAGCUUCUCACCGUUGGCCACCUUCACUUCAAAUGGCUGGAUGCUUAUAGGAUGUAACCCCAACUUAGGCACAAUGGCUGCAUUGAUGAAAUUGUGUGAUGAUCCGCUAUCCACUAACAGUGAGACUUCAUUUCGGCCGACCCAUGCAAGUAAUCUCAUGGUGCUUGGCUUUGGCACCCCUGUCAAUGCAUUCAAGGAGAGUUCUGCCUCAUCUUCCUCCGCCUGCACUUGACUUGGCUGAUUGUGGAAUUGUUCUUCAUCCGGAUCACUUGCUUGGCUGUUUUCUGCAUCUCCAUUUUCUGCAUCUUGGACUUCAAUUAGGAAUGCCUGCCCUGAUUUGCACUUGUGAUCUCGGCCCCAUUUCUCCCCACAUUUGAAGCACAAGCCUUUCUUGAUGAAGUCUUGGACUUCCUCCCUUGACAGCCGCUUCACUUGUGGCUGGUUUUUUGGGUUGCUGCCGACUGCAUCCUUGCCCUUCCAUGGCACUUUGGUUGGCAUGGCCUUGGCUUCCCGGUUGAUGGUGUCUUUGAUCAUCCUCCUCUCGGACUGAUAGCCAUCAUCCAGAAUUUCGGCCAUCCGCAUGGCCUCUUGCAUGGAACUGGGUUGCUUCAACUUGACCUCCUUGGCAAGCCAAGGUUUCAAGCCAUCAAUGAAUGUUCCCAUCAAGGCUUCUUCCGACCAACCCGUCACCAAUGUUUGUAAGUGGCGAAAUUCUUCAACAUAGGGCCGCACUCUUCCUUCUUGCUUGAUUUUCGCCAAUUGUCCAUGAUAGUUUACAAUAGGGGAAGGCCCCCAUUGAAUCAUGAACUCCUUCACAAAUGCAGUCCAUCCUAAUCUCCUUCCUUCUUUUUCAUAGAUGGAUCUCAACCAUCUCCACCAUUUACUUGCUUUAUCUUCAAGAUGAAAACUAGCAAAGGUGACUUUCUCCUUGUGUGGAACUUCAUAGACAUAGAAGAAUUGUUCCACCUUGUCCAUCCAUUCAAAAGGAUCUCCCCCACUGAAUUUAGGGAAGUCUAUCCUUGGUUUUCUAACUUCUCUUCUAGGCUCUCUCUCAUCUUCUUCAACAUCACCAUGGCGGGCCAUUCUCACCCUCUCCUCUCUUCUUCUUCCACUCGGUCUAGUGGCAAUCCGGGGCUCCUCAUCGGACUCCCUCACACUAAAGGUUUCUUCAUACUCAACUCCUCUUCCAAACCGAUCCACACACACCCCAAAUCCUUCCACUCGACUCCCUCUUCUUACUCUUUCACUCCUUCUUUCCCUAACCCGGCAUCCACUAUGGUUACUUGCCAAUUCUUCCUCACUUCCCCUUCCUUGGUCCUGCUCAUUAGCAUGCGGCCAAGACUCCUUGUUUGUAUUUUUUUCUCCACAUGAAACUCUCCUCUUCAACCUUUCCAAACUAUGAUUGGUAUCCCUCCUCAUUUCAGCCAUGGAAUGGGAGAGUUCUUCCAAGGCUUUGGCCACUCGGUUGGACUGAAUUUCAAGGGCGUCAAGCCUUUGGUUACCCUCGGAAUCCAUGAUAAUUUUUUUAUAGAUUCAGAACAAUCCUUCAAAGGUAUUCAAAGGGUAAAACUAUUUCGGAAUGGUCUACACCCACAAGGUUCCCUCACGUAACCCUUCCCUCUUUUACCACUCGGAAAUGGCAAUUCGAAGAAGGUUGAUUGACUUACUUGUAGGGGACUUCAGAUAAUGGCGCUACCUUCAAGAUGUUCUUCUUGAUGAAGAUAUAAAUCUCUCAAUGAAAGCCCCAAAUGGUGAGGUUCCUCCUAAUUCACCUCACCAAAUCAGCCAAAUCUUGAAGGCCAAGGCGGAGCAAGAGCAAGGCUCAUGUCCGCCCAAAGGCCUUCUUUCAUUCCUUGGGGCACAACCGAGAUUCGGCCAUCCUUGGCAAGCAAGGGCUGGACCAUUGGCAACACCGACCGAGCACAGCAGCGGCGCGCCCAAGGCCGCAGACCUUCGGCUGGGGCGCCACUGCAACCGAGACAUCCGACUGGCCACAAGGACCAAGCGCAAGGCAAAUCCAUUGGCCGGGAGGGCCAAGCCAGAAUUCCAGCCGCGCGCAAGGAUUGGACGCCUUUGGUCCAAGCCAUUGCGCGCGCACACCAACAAGCCACAGAUAUCCGGACGGGCACAGGCGCGGCCAAGGCAAUCCCAGCACAAGCCAAGGCACGCGCAAGCCACAGAGGGCCAACCGACAGCAACAGGCCGCGCGCGCCAAGGCACAGCAGGCGCGCGGGCAAGAGGCAACCAACGGGCGGUAACCGCCGAUGCGCGCCCAAGGAGCGCCGUGCGCACGGGCCCUUGGCGCCAAAGACCAUCGCGCGCACAGGCCAGGAGCAACGGCGCCCAAGACCGGCGCGCGCACAGGCCAGCGCGCGCGGGCCCUUGGCGCCCAAGACCGGCGNNNNNNNNNNNNNNNNNNNNNGCGCGCGCGCGUGCCAUGCGCCGCAGACAGCAAAUGCCCGAGCGCGCCAACAGCCAACCGACCGAGUCCAUGCGCGCGCGGGAGCCAACAUCCAGCAAUCGUCAAGCGGCCGAGCGCCCAGCGCCUAGACGCCCAACGCCCAGGCGCCCAGACGCCCAGCGCCCAGGCGACCAGCGCCCAGACGCCCAGCGCCCAUGCGCCCAGCGGCCAGACCGACAGAACCAGCGCAGCCAAAGGAUCCGACCACAGACCGAGAGGUCAGGCGAAGGAAAACCAAGGCAGCACCUGGUUUGCCAAUGCCAACGCGCAGCCCGCCAGACCGCGCGCGGCACGGGCAAAGCCAGUGCGCAGGGCCAUGACAGCAGGUUACAACUUCUGCAGAGGCAAGCACAGAAGAGUGCCAACAGCAACCAACUCCAGCCUCUGCAGUAGCCAAAGCUUGGCCAACAGCAAGAAACCGCCAACAUCCAAAACUGCAGGCCAAUGCCACAACAGCAAGGAACCGCCAGCAACCACCGCCAAGCCAAGUAAGCAGCCAACCAAAUGGCAACCGAAUCAAGACAGCAAGCCAUGCAAGGGAAGUUCCCAAGGAGUUGCCAUAGCAUGCAAAAAGCCAGCCGAAUGGAAGCCAUUGUAGGCCAUUGUAGGGAGUCUACAAAUAGAUCCAAAUGAAGUGGGGGAAGGGACUUUUGGACAUUGAAUAGUUAGCCACUUGUAAGUGCAUUCGGCCAUAGGCUUGGGUAGGCAUUAUUGCCUAAUUUCGGUCCUAAGGGACUUGGGCCAAGGCAGGGUAAAUCAACCCCCCUUGGAUUUGGCUAAGGAAGGGAACCAUCAAUCCCUCCUUAGAUAUUGUAUUUCCUUUUCACCUUGAAUCAAAGUUGCCUUUGAUGCCUCUGCAUUCUCAUAUGAGUUGUCUUCAUAGGCAAGCAAAGCUUUAGAUUCCGAAGAGGAGUGCAAGACUCCAUCCAUAGCCGAGCAUACUUGGAGUUUGGAGGAGCUAAGUGCCGAUUAUCCCUUUUUGGUUGGCGCUAUCUACAUUCGGUCAAGGCGGCACACCUUGAUUCGGGCCAACGCCAAAGGCUAAGAGGGAACACCUUGGUGUGGGAAGUGCAUGACCGACACUUGGUCCCCACCAAUUUGGUGCUUUCAUUGAGAGAUCACUUCAUCAAGAAGAUCAUCUUGAAGGUAGCGCCAUUUGUUUGAAGUCUCCUACAAGUAAGUCAAUCAACCUUCUUCCGAUUGCCAUUUCCGAGUGGUAAAAGAGGGAAGGGCUACGUGAGGGAACCUUGUGGGUGUAGACCAUUCAUAAUUAGUUUUGCCUUUGAAUACCUUUGAAGGAUUGUUCUGAAUCUACAAAAAAAUUAUCAUGGAUUCCGAGGGUAACCAAAGGCUUGACGCCCUUGAAAUUCAGUCCAAUCGAGUGGCCAAAGCCUUGGAAGAACUCUCCCAUUCCAUGGCUGAAAUGAGGAGAGAUACCAAUCAUAGUUUGGAGAGGUUGGAAAGGAGGGUUUCAAGUGGAGAAAAAAAUACAAACAAGGAGUCUUGGCCGCAUGCUAAUGAGCAGGACCAAGGAAGGGGAAGUGAGGAAGAAUUGGCAAGUAACCAUAGUGGAUGCCGGGUUAGGGAAAGAAGGAGUGAAAGAGUAAGAAGAGGGAGUCGAGUGGAAGGAUUUGGGGUGUGUGUGGAUCGGUUUGGAAGAGGAGUUGAGUAUGAAGAAACCUUUAGUGUGAGGGAGUCCGAUGAAGAGCCCCGGAUUGCCACUAGACCGAGUGGAAGAAGAAGAGAAGAGAGGGUGAGGAUGACUCGCCAUGGUGAUGUUGAAGAAGAUGAGGGAGAGCCUAGAAGAGAAGUAAGAAAACCAAGGAUAGACUUCCCUAAAUUCAGUGGGGGAGAUCCUUUUGAAUGGAUGGACAAGGUGGAACAAUUCUUCUAUGUCUAUGAAGUUCCACACAAGGAGAAAGUCACCUUUGCUAGUUUUCAUCUUGAAGAUAAAGCAAGUAAAUGGUGGAGAUGGUUGAGAUCCAUCUAUGAAAAAGAAGGAAGGAGAUUGGGAUGGACUGCAUUUGUGAAGGAGUUCAUGAUUCAAUGGGGGCCUUCCCCUAUUGUAAACUAUCAUGGACAAUUGGCGAAAAUCAAGCAAGAAGGAAGAGUGCGGCCCUAUGUUGAAGAAUUUCGCCACUUACAAACAUUGGUGACGGGUUGGUCGGAAGAAGCCUUGAUGGGAACAUUCAUCGAUGGCUUGAAACCUUGGCUUGCCAAGGAGGUCAAGUUGAAGCAACCCAAUUCCAUGCAAGAGGCCAUGCGGAUGGCCGAAAUUCUGGAUGAUGGCUAUCAGUUCGAGAGGAGGAUGAUCAAAGACACCAUCAACCGAGAAGCCAAGGCCAUGCCAACCAAAGUGCCAUGGAAGGGCAAGGAUGCAGUCGGCAGCAACCCAAAAAACCAGCCUCAAGUGAAGCGGCUGUCAAGGGAGGAAGUCCAAGACUUCAUCAAGAAAGGAUUGUGCUUCAAAUGUGGGGAGAAAUGGGGCCGAGAUCAUAAGUGCAAAUCAGGGCAAGCAUUCCUAAUUGAAGUCCAAGAUGCAGAAUUUGAAGAUGCAGAAACCAACCAAUCAAGUGAUCAUGAAGAGGAGCAAAACCACAAUCAGCCAAGUCAAGUGCAGGCGGAGGAAGAUGAGCCAGAACUCUCCUUGAAUGCAUUGACAGGGGUGCCAAAGCCAAGCACCAUGAGAUUACUUGCAUGGGUCGGCCGAAAUGAAGUCUCACUGUUAGUGGAUAGCGGAUCAUCACACAAUUUCAUCAAUGCAGCCAUUGUGCCUAAGUUGGGGUUACAUCCUAUAAGCAUCCAGCCAUUUGAAGUGAAGGUGGCCAACGGUGAGAAGCUAACAUGCAAGGAAGUCAUUCAAGAAGUGAAGAUGAACAUUCAAGGGGUAAGAAUCAAGGCUGAUUUACAUGUGAUCCAACUAGUUGAUCUUGACAUAAUACUUGGAAGUGUGUGGCUUAGAAGUGUUGGAAAAGUGAACACAAAUUAUGAAACCAUGACAAUGGAUUUCAAGUUGAACGGCAAGAAGGAACAAUGGACAGCAAUUCAAGGACAAGAAGAACCACAAGCCAUUGAAGAUCCAUGGCUACUUCAAGAAGAAAAAGAGUUUAUAUGUGCAGCCAUCAGCGGAAUAGAAUGGAGAAUAUGGGACCGGAUUAGAGAAGCACUCAAAUUAGAUGCUAGAUCUCAAGAAAUCAAGGAGAAGAUAGAAGCCAUUUCGGGUGGAGUCAAAAAUUUCAGCAUCCGGGAUGAUCUUAUCUUCUACAAAUCCAAUGUCUAUGUGCCGGAUGUCCCAAACUUGAGACAUGAUAUCCUUUUCCACUUCCAUAACAGCAAGGAAGGUGGUCACUCCGGAUGGUUUCGAACCUAUGUCCGAAUCAAGCAUUUCUUCUAUUGGGAAGGAUUGAAGAAGGAUGUCAAAACCAUGGUAGCCGAGUGUGAUAUUUGCCAAAAGGUGAAGUAUGAUCCUAGGUUACCAAUGGGAUUACUCCAACCAUUGCCUAUUCCAAAUCAGAUUUGGGAAGAUAUCUCAAUGGAAUUCAUUGAAGGAUUGCCAAGUAGCAAGGGCUCAGCAAAUAUGCACAUUUCAUCCCUGUCCAACAUCCAUUUACCGCCAAGACCAUAGCCCACACAUUUGUGGAGAAUAUAAUCAGGUUACAUGGAGUUCCGAGAAGCAUCAUAUCAGAUAGAGACAAGAUUUUCAUGAGUCUGUUUUGGAAGGAACUCUUUUCACUGCAGGGCAGCAUGUUGAAGGCCGGAUCAUCGUAUCACCCACAAACAGAUGGGCAAACGGAAGUCACCAAUCGAAUAUUGGAACAAUAUUUGAGAUGUUACUGCCAUGAACAGCAAAACAGAUGGGCUGAUUACUUACCAUGGGCAGAAUAUUGGUACAACACCUCAUACCAAGGAUCAACCAAGAAAAGUCCAUUUGAGUUAGUGUAUGGGCGGACACCUCCAACACUCACACGAUAUGAGUUUGGAACAACUAAGAAUUUUGAAGUAGAAAAAGAGUUGCUGGCCCGUGAAGAAGUAUUGAAAAUUGUAAAGAAAGAAUUGAAGAAAUCCCAAGAAAGAAUGAAGAAGUUUCAUGAUCGGAAGAGAAGGGAUGGUGAAUUGCAACCAGGAGAUUAUGUAUACCUGAAACUGCAACCCACACAGCAAAAAUCUUUGAGGAAGAGGGUCAGUUACAAGUUGGCCAAGAGGUACUAUGGACCCUACAAGAUCUUGGAAAGAAUUGGUAAGGUCGCUUACAAAUUAGAGUUACCUUACAAUUCCUUAUUGCAUCCCGUAUUUCACAUUUCAUGGUUAAAAAAGAGAGUAGGUGAUCCAUCUACUAUUGGGAUAGAAUUACCAAAAUUUGAUGAGGAAGGACGAAUAGUUCUCCAACCUAUGAAGGUCCUCCAAUAUCGCAUCAAAAGAAAAGGGAGGAACAAAAGGAAGGUUUGGCAGGUUCUCAUGCAAUGGAAGGACAUUCCAAUUGAGGGUGCCACUUGGGAGGAAUAUGAUGAAGUGGCAAGGAAGUAUCCGAAAUUCCACCUUGAGGACAAGGGAGUUCUUCAAGAGGGGGGGAAUGGUGAGGUUCCUCCUAAUUCACCUCACCAAAUCAGCCAAAUCUUGAAGGCCAAGGCGGAGCAAGAGCAAGGCUCAUGUCCGCCCAAAGGCCUUCUUUCAUUCCUUGGGGCAUAACCGAGAUUCGGCCAUCCUUGGCAAGCAAGGGCUGGACCAUUGGCAACACCGACCGAGCACAGCAGCGGCGCGCCCAAGGCCGCAGACCUUCGGCUGGGGCGCCACUGCAACCGAGACAUCCGACAGGCCACAUGCCCUUGCCCGUGCUGGGGUCGACCCAAACUUUCUUGGGGUUGACUCAACUUACUGUUCAUCAGACUUCGGGUCGACUCAACUUUCUUUGGGGUCGAUCCAAUUUUCUCUGGGGUCGACCCCUGCUACAGUGGGGUCGGCCUUCUCAGAAACCACAGAACCUUGUAUUUUCGGUUGUUUUCACUAGGGUUGACUCAAGCUUUCUUGGGGUCGACCCAUGCUACAGUGGGGUCGACUCAAGUUCCAUUGGGGUCGACCCUCUCAGGGAUUCCAGAGACAUGGUUUUGAACACAUAUCUUUGGGGUCGACUCAUGUUCAAUUGGGGUCGGCUCCAUUGGGGUCGACUCAAGUGUUCCUGGGGUUGGCUCAAGAAAUCUUGGGGUCGGCCCUCUCAGUGAAUUCCAGAGAGUUGUUUUUUUAAGGCUUCAAACUGAGGUCGACUCAAGGUUCUUUGGGGUCGGCUCCUCACCUGGAGUCGGCUCAAAGAUACAUGGGGUCGACUCCACUUACUGUUCAUCUGUGCCAUUUUUGCAGGGGUGUGCCAGAUGGUUCCAUGGUGCGCCAGGGUCGACUCCACCUAGCUUGAGGUCGACUCAAUCCACACUUUCCUGCAUCUUAAGGUUAGACUAAUUCAUAUAAUCAAUAAAACAUAUUUUCAAGCAAUUUUGAGUGUAUGCUACGAUAGAGUUACAUACCCUUAAUAAUGAAAAUCACUGUUUUGCCCUUAAGAGUAUAUUUCACUUGAAACUUUGCUGAAUUAGAAUUAAGAGUUCUUUAUCCCUUUUCUACUACAAAUUUUAUCUCGUUGUUAAUCAUUGGAAGACGUCUUGAUCUCAUUCUCUUAAUAUAUCAUGAAUGUAUCGAGGGUGUCGUAUUCAUUAGUGAUGUAUCACGUUAAACUGUAUUAUUAAUUUGAUAUUCUCUCAAUGGUUGUGUUAAUCAUCGAAAUAACACUAUCAUCCUCAAUUAGUCAUUUGACUUGCAAACAAGGAAGAAACAGGGUAAUUUACAAUAAUCAAAGGUAAUGAAUGAGACUUAAUUUGCCCUUUUUUUGAGUUUACUACAAAUUAUUGAAGGUGAUAUAAUUUAUUUAUUUUGAAUAUCUUCCUAUUGUUUAACUAGAUAGAAUCAAUUUACAAUAAUUAGUGGGAUCUCAAUUGUUUGAUAUCACUUUGUUAUAUAAACUGCCAAGAUUAACAAGGUUUUUAAAAAAAUAUUAUCUGAUAACCAAUAUUUUGCUUCUUGACUAACAAAAAUAUACGAACUAUCAUUGCUUAUAUUUUUCUUUGAACUAACUAUGUGAAUUGUGAAGUGUUGCUUAUAUUCUGCUUUAAUCAUUGAUUGGAGGUGACUAUCUUGUUUCUAUCUUGUUUCCAUGUCUGAAUAAAUCCUUUUGUUCUGAAAUUAUAGUUGGAACUGAGAAUUUAAACAUCACUUGUUUAGGUUUUUUAUGUCUCUACAUGCUUGUGUUGAGCUCCUUGUUAGAAUAUGUGAAUCUUAUAGGGUUUGUCAUAUUCUUUUCUGGUCUCAUUCUAUAUGAUGUUGAAUUCUGCCCUCAAGUUUUGAAUCUGUCCCUCUUCCCCUCUCUUUCUUGGAGCUUGAAUUGUCUUCAGGAUUUUUCUCUGUAUAAUUUGUCAUUUAUUUGCUUUCUGUUUGUUUUAGAUCUUCAAGCAAACUUGUAUUUGUUAGUACUAUUCAUCAAGUAAUAGAGUUCAUGUGUUUGAAUUGAUUAUUUUUUUCCAAAUGGUGUGUAACAAAUUGAGGAUUUUUAAUGGAUUUAGACAUGUUUCAAAGCCUUUGCAGUCAAUAUACCAACAAUUACCUUCCUCCCAUCUCUUGUUUCACCUUCAGACGGUAGAAAAUGAGUAAGAAACAGGAUAAAAAGGGCAUCCUGUUUGGUAUGCAAACAUCAUGCUUGGUUUGGGAGUGGUUCGGGGUUGGUUUGGAAUGAACCUACUAGGGCAUACUAUACUGUACUAGUUCGGUACCGGUGCCCGGUACAUGUGGCAUAUCGACACUUCGUACGCCAAAAAAUUUUCAUACUGUACCAUAUCGAUACUAUGCUAGUGUGGCACCGGUACAGGGUUUGGUACCGAGAUGGCAAACCUUGGAACCUACCUUGAUCUGCAUUCAAACUGUUAGAUUUUUGUUGGUUCAAGUGGUUGGUUCCAGUGGUUCCAUAGUAGUUUGGGUAGUUCUUGCCAUGCCCACCCUCCUUUUAGGCUUGUAACAUGAUAGGCCUAAAUUGAAUUGAGAAGUCUGCAUCAAUCUGAGAGGUUCCUAAAUCCUUAGUCCUAUAGAAGAAAGUAUCUAAAGUUAAAUAAUAGGUAUAUAGAGUCUUUUGUACAUGAAAGUGGCUAAGUAUUGGAUGAUGUGGACAUGGAAAUAUUAUUUCCUGUUUGGCAGUUUCUUUUGUGUCAUCUCUCUAUCUUUUCAAGUUUUGUGGUUGUAGGGUUGGAGUGAAAGAUUCGGAGAAUGAUUGUGAAUCGUCAAGUUAGAAACAAUGGCCAGGACCAAACUUCUAAAAUCAAGUUAGAGGCUCAUACAUGUCAUUGGUUGAUGUGAUACAUAACACAUUACAUACGACACUGACAUAGGGUGCUUGCCAAUACAACUGUGGCUAGUCGAUAUAACGUGCGGAAUGGUCAUUGUUUGCUGAAAGUGAUUUUUUAAUUAGUUUCUAUUGUUUAAUCAUUAUUCUACCUAUGCAUUAAUUGUUAUUUCAAUUAGUGACAAUUUUCCUACUCAUUAAUUUUGAAAGUGUGGAUUUGGCUCGGAAUUGUGCAAAAAAUUACAAAAAGAAUUGGAUGGGAGAGUGCAUUACCUAGAUAGCAAUGAGGAAUCACCCUCUCGUUAGAAGUGGCAAUUCUUUUCCUGAUGUGUGAAGUGUGAAACUAACUUGAAGUUGGUUUAGGUCAAGCAUACUACAGUUUUAAGUCAUAAACAAGUUGACAUGAUUAAUUGGAAUAAUAAAGGGGCCAGUUUUAGAAUUGAGAUGUUGAGGUGGACAACCUAAAAUGACUCAAUCAGGUUUGGUCAACAAGACUAUGAUUAGUUUGUUGUCCUGUACCUAAUCCCCAUAUUUCAUCCCACAUUUACCUCAAAUCCCAAAAUGCUUGCCUCUUCCCUCUUUCUAUCUAAAACAACCUGUCAAAUUGCCUUGCCCACUUCCACUUCGCUGCUUCCCCUUCCACUAUCUUGACUACAUGUCAAGUAGUGUUGGGGGGGAAAAAUGGACCACCCACAAAUUGAAGCACCCAAAUCAGAAGACCGAGCUCAGGCAGGCCGAGCCGAGCUCAUGCAAGCCGAGCUCAGAAGGCUGCCAAGCCCAGAAGGCCGAGCACAGCAGGCCGAGACCAGAAGGCUGCCGAGCUCAGAAGGCCGAGCACAGAAGGCCGAGCACNNNNNNNNNNNNNNNNNNNNNNNNNNNNNNNNNNNNNNNNNNNNNNNNNNNNNNNNNNNNNNNNNNNNNNNNNNNNNNNNNNNNNNNNNNNNNNNNNNNNNNNNNNNNNNNNNNNNNNNNNNNNNNNNNNNNNNNNNNNNNNNNNNNNNNNNNNNNNNNNNNNNNNNNNNNNNNNNNNNNNNNNNNNNNNNNNNNNNNNNNNNNNNNNNNNNNNNNNNNNNNNNNNNNNNNNNNNNNNNNNNNNNNNNNNNNNNNNNNNNNNNNNNNNNNNNNNNNNNNNNNNNNNNNNNNNNNNNNNNNNNNNNNNNNNNNNNNNNNNNNNNNNNNNNNNNNNNNNNNNNNNNNNNNNNNNNNNNNNNNNNNNNNNNNNNNNNNNNNNNNNNNNNNNNNNNNNNNNNNNNNNNNNNNNNNNNNNNNNNNNNNNNNNNNNNNNNNNNNNNNNNNNNNNNNNNNNNNNNNNNNNNNNNNNNNNNNNNNNNNNNNNNNNNNNNNNNNNNNNNNNNNNNNNNNNNNNNNNNNNNNNNNNNNNNNNNNNNNNNNNNNNNNNNNNNNNNNNNNNNNNNNNNNNNNNNNNNNNNNNNNNNNNNNNNNNNNNNNNNNNNNNNNNNNNNNNNNNNNNNNNNNNNNNNNNNNNNNNNNNNNNNNNNNNNNNNNNNNNNNNNNNNNNNNNNNNNNNNNNNNNNNNNNNNNNNNNNNNNNNNNNNNNNNNNNNNNNNNNNNNNNNNNNNNNNNNNNNNNNNNNNNNNNNNNNNNNNNNNNNNNNNNNNNNNNNNNNNNNNNNNNNNNNNNNNNNNNNNNNNNNNNNNNNNNNNNNNNNNNNNNNNNNNNNNNNNNNNNNNNNNNNNNNNNNNNNNNNNNNNNNNNNNNNNNNNNNNNNNNNNNNNNNNNNNNNNNNNNNNNNNNNNNNNNNNNNNNNNNNNNNNNNNNNNNNNNNNNNNNNNNNNNNNNNNNNNNNNNNNNNNNNNNNNNNNNNNNNNNNNNNNNNNNNNNNNNNNNNNNNNNNNNNNNNNNNNNNNNNNNNNNNNNNNNNNNNNNNNNNNNNNNNNNNNNNNNNNNNNNNNNNNNNNNNNNNNNNNNNNNNNNNNNNNNNNNNNNNNNNNNNNNNNNNNNNNNNNNNNNNNNNNNNNNNNNNNNNNNNNNNNNNNNNNNNNNNNNNNNNNNNNNNNNNNNNNNNNNNNNNNNNNNNNNNNNNNNNNNNNNNNNNNNNNNNNNNNNNNNNNNNNNNNNNNNNNNNNNNNNNNNNNNNNNNNNNNNNNNNNNNNNNNNNNNNNNNNNNNNNNNNNNNNNNNNNNNNNNNNNNNNNNNNNNNNNNNNNNNNNNNNNNNNNNNNNNNNNNNNNNNNNNNNNNNNNNNNNNNNNNNNNNNNNNNNNNNNNNNNNNNNNNNNNNNNNNNNNNNNNNNNNNNNNNNNNNNNNNNNNNNNNNNNNNNNNNNNNNNNNNNNNNNNNNNNNNNNNNNNNNNNNNNNNNNNNNNNNNNNNNNNNNNNNNNNNNNNNNNNNNNNNNNNNNNNNNNNNNNNNNNNNNNNNNNNNNNNNNNNNNNNNNNNNNNNNNNNNNNNNNNNNNNNNNNNNNNNNNNNNNNNNNNNNNNNNNNNNNNNNNNNNNNNNNNNNNNNNNNNNNNNNNNNNNNNNNNNNNNNNNNNNNNNNNNNNNNNNNNNNNNNNNNNNNNNNNNNNNNNNNNNNNNNNNNNNNNNNNNNNNNNNNNNNNNNNNNNNNNNNNNNNNNNNNNNNNNNNNNNNNNNNNNNNNNNNNNNNNNNNNNNNNNNNNNNNNNNNNNNNNNNNNNNNNNNNNNNNNNNNNNNNNNNNNNNNNNNNNNNNNNNNNNNNNNNNNNNNNNNNNNNNNNNNNNNNNNNNNNNNNNNNNNNNNNNNNNNNNNNNNNNNNNNNNNNNNNNNNNNNNNNNNNNNNNNNNNNNNNNNNNNNNNNNNNNNNNNNNNNNNNNNNNNNNNNNNNNNNNNNNNNNNNNNNNNNNNNNNNNNNNNNNNNNNNNNNNNNNNNNNNNNNNNNNNNNNNNNNNNNNNNNNNNNNNNNNNNNNNNNNNNNNNNNNNNNNNNNNNNNNNNNNNNNNNNNNNNNNNNNNNNNNNNNNNNNNNNNNNNNNNNNNNNNNNNNNNNNNNNNNNNNNNNNNNNNNNNNNNNNNNNNNNNNNNNNNNNNNNNNNNNNNNNNNNNNNNNNNNNNNNNNNNNNNNNNNNNNNNNNNNNNNNNNNNNNNNNNNNNNNNNNNNNNNNNNNNNNNNNNNNNNNNNNNNNNNNNNNNNNNNNNNNNNNNNNNNNNNNNCGAACACAGCAGGUCGAGACCAGAAGGCUGCCGAACUCAAAAAGCCGCCGAGCUCAGAAGGCCGAGCACAGAAGGCCGAGCACAGGCUGCCGAGCAUAGCAUGUCGAGACCAGAAGGCUGCCGAGCUCAGAAGGUUGCCGAGCUCAGAAGGCUGCCAAGCUCAGAAGGCCGAGCUCAGAAGGCCGAGCACAGCAGGCCGAGCACAGAAGGCUGCCGAGCUCAGAAGGCCGAGCACAGAAGGCCGAGCUGACCUCAGAAGGCCAACCUCGUCAUCUAUAUGCUGCGGCCAUGCCCUGCAGCAGCCUCACCGCACUAUGCUUUACUUGCCGGCCAUGCCACGACAUAUCAAUCAGGAACCAUAUCCUGCUACGACUGUCAACGCCUCACCAUUCCCAAGAAUGUACUGCACUACGCGCCACUAGCAAGCUCUGGCUACGCGCCAUCUCCUCCCAUGAUGGGAACGGGCCAUCCAUGGCAACUCAUUACUUCCACGCCCAUGUCCAAGAGUAUCGGUAACCCAUUAAUUCGCCCAGUCACAUCACAGGUAACCCUGCCACUCUCCCUAUAAAAGGGGAGCUUCUCCCUCUAAAAAGGGGGCUGGAGGCUUCUUCCUCCCAAGAGGGGCUUCGGACUUCGAAAUACAUUCCCUCUCCUUCUCCAAAAUUAAGCCCCCCUCUGACUUAAGCAUCGGAGUGCCGGCGCCGGAAACCCCGGCCACCGGCAUUUUUGCAGGUCUCCCGGAGGACGCCGCCCGUCGACGGACCGCCACUCCCCGAUUCUCACCGGAGCUCCUCCUUCCUGGCCUUUUGGUCACCCCCGGGUCCAAAUUCCAGCAACAGUUGGCGCUAGAGGAAGGGCCCGAGUUGCGGCCAUGAAACUAAGGAGCAGAGGAGUCUUUAAUGCCUCUCGGCAUCAUGCUCCAUGUUCCGAACGCUCAGUCCAGAAUUCACCACCAAGAUCUCCGGUAGAUCAAGUUCGACAAGUCCAACCCGAGCACUUCGACGCGCUAGUGCAGCAAGUCUAAGCGCUAGCCAUUGCAGCCCAAAGCCUGCAACAAGUGGAGGCCCCUCCUGUGCGGCCUCCAUGGGUUCAUGUUAAGCAGAGGAAGAAACUUUCUCCCGAGCCAUCUCGAAUCAGGCAUGGCUCCCGCUGCAACGACGUAUGUGGGGGCAACCAGUGAGAAGUAGUAGUUCAAGUCUCACGUCAACGAGUUAGAGGGAAAGAGAAAUAAAAGCUGAGGUCUGGAAAAGGAGAGUUAUGGAGCUUUAAAAUGGGAUUGUAAGCCUCUGUGGUAAAGGGUGCAGCCCCAUUAAAUCCCAUUGUCCUUCCAAGUCUUCUGUCUUUCGGCAGCAAGUAAGAAACCAGCAUGUACUCCCUCCUCACGGGCAUAAGUCCUCAGGACGGCGCCCGCGACGUUGCUCUCCUUCAGAGCGUCGCCAUCACAGAAGCCCCCACCGAGCUCAAAAGGCUGCCGAGCUCAGAAGGCUGCCGAGCACAGAAGGCCCAGCUCAGCAGGCCGCCGAGCUCAGAAGCCCGAGCGCAGAACACCUUCCAGAAAAUUGAGCCAAAGAAGGCCGGUCCUGAGCCAAGUCCUGAGGGACUUCGAAGCUCGAGAGCCAUCAAAAUAUUUCCAAAAGGUACAGGACGCCACUUUGGCUUCAAAUAAUCUCAAUAUUUUAUCUAUUUUCAGGUUGGAGAAUCCAAAAAACGACCUACGGGUAUCUCUAUCUCCAACGUCGCCCCGCUCCGAAUAAGGGCGCACGAUCGCCAACGAACGAAGUCCAUCUCCUGUAUGUGUCUCCAAUGAUACCCCGACUAAGUUCGGGAUGCCCCGAGUGUCGAUAGUGCGUUCCGAGACCCCUCAACCUCGAAAAGCGUCGCAGGUCGACAGUGCGUUCUCAGACCCCUCGACCUGCAUACGAUACCCCGACUAAGUUCGGGAUGCCCCGAGUGUCGAUAGUGCGUUCCCAGACCCCUUGACCUCGGGAAGCGUCGUAGGUCGACAGUGCGUUCCCAGGCCCCUCGACCUGCGUACGAUCCUCCGACAAAGUUCGGGAUGCCCCGAGUGUCGACAGUGCGUUUCCAGACCCCUCGACACUUCGGAAAGAUGGGGUUGUACCUUUGCGGCCCCCCGUGGCGCUCAAUACCAACAAUGGGAUAGUACCUUCGGGGCCCCCCCGUAGCGCCUCCUCGACUAAGGUCGGGAUGCCCCGAUGAGUCGACAGUGAGCUCGAGCUCCCUCGACCUCGGAAUGACGGGGUAGUACCUUCGCGGCCCUCCGGAAACAUGUUCGUGGUCGGAAACAUGUUCGUGGUUGGAAAUAAAUAUUCGUGGUCGACGUAAACGUUCGUGGUCGACGUAAAUGUUCGUGGUCGACGUAAACGUUCGUGGUCGGCAAUAAAUGUUCGUGGUCGACGUAAAUAUUCGUGAUCGACAACAAAGUACCCCCAAAAUGUUCGUGGAUGACAACAAAGCAACCCCCACACAGAUCUCCAAUGGCAACUAUUUCUCCUAUUGUGCCAGCGUCCCCAGAAAGCGGACCUCGAGCAAAAGAGCGUCCUCAAAAGUUAGUCGAGGAGCAAAGCUGCCGACCUCGGCGUGAGACACUCGACUCCGACAGUACAAAAGCCUCAUGGCCUGAAUUUUCGCCCUGUCAGCUGGGAGAAGUGCGACGUGAAAGAUCUGCCGCGCCGUCUCGACGUUCUCGAGAAAUGAGUCGACCACAAGCCAAAGAAGGUUGCUGAGUCGACCUAAAGUACUUAACUCCAAUUGCAUUAGAGGUACACCCUACUUGGCACGUAUAUCUCUAUACGUAUUUGGCUAUAUUACAGGAUGAUCACCGACUGGACUACUUCCUUCGCCCGAGCCAAAAAACUGCUCGAACUCGGAAGUCGGGGGGUAGUGUUGGGGGGAAAAUGGACCACCCACAAAUUGAAGCACCCAAAUCAGAAGACCGAGCUCAGGCAGGCAGAGCCGAGCUCAAAAGGCCGAGCCGAGCUCAGAAGGCUGCCAAGCCCAGAAGGCCGAGCACAGCAGGCCGAGACCAGAAGGCUGCCGAGCUCAGAAGGCUGCCGAGCACAGAAGGCCGAGCACAGAAGGCUGAGCACAGCAGGCCGAGACCAGAAGGCUGCCGAGCUCAGAAGGCCGAGACCAGAAGGCUGUCGAGCUCAGAAGGCCGAGCACANNNNNNNNNNNNNNNNNNNNNNNNNNNNNNNNNNNNNNNNNNNNNNNNNNNNNNNNNNNNNNNNNNNNNNNNNNNNNNNNNNNNNNNNNNNNNNNNNNNNNNNNNNNNNNNNNNNNNNNNNNNNNNNNNNNNNNNNNNNNNNNNNNNNNNNNNNNNNNNNNNNNNNNNNNNNNNNNNNNNNNNNNNNNNNNNNNNNNNNNNNNNNNNNNNNNNNNNNNNNNNNNNNNNNNNNNNNNNNNNNNNNNNNNNNNNNNNNNNNNNNNNNNNNNNNNNNNNNNNNNNNNNNNNNNNNNNNNNNNNNNNNNNNNNNNNNNNNNNNNNNNNNNNNNNNNNNNNNNNNNNNNNNNNNNNNNNNNNNNNNNNNNNNNNNNNNNNNNNNNNNNNNNNNNNNNNNNNNNNNNNNNNNNNNNNNNNNNNNNNNNNNNNNNNNNNNNNNNNNNNNNNNNNNNNNNNNNNNNNNNNNNNNNNNNNNNNNNNNNNNNNNNNNNNNNNNNNNNNNNNNNNNNNNNNNNNNNNNNNNNNNNNNNNNNNNNNNNNNNNNNNNNCAGCAGGCCGAGCACAGAAGGCUGCCGAGCUCAGAAGGCCGAGCUGACCUCAGAAGGCCGACCUCGUCAUCUAUAUGCUGCGGCAAUGCCCUGCAGCAGCCUCACCGCACCAUGCUUUGCUUGCCGGCCAUGCCACGACAUAUCAAUCAGGAACCAUACCCUGCUACGACUGUCAACGCCUCACCAUUCCCAAGAAUGUACUGCACUACGCGCCACAAGCAAGCUCUGGCUACGCGCCAUCUCCUCCUAUGAUGGGAACGGGCCAUCCACUUCCCAGCAACAGUUCCCAUGGCUGCCAUCACCAUAGCCUGGCAUUUGGACUGUUACUCCCAUCUUCACUUUAAUAGCUGCCAUCCGUUGAUGUGUCACUGUUGUUUGAAGUGUAGAGGCAUCAAUUUUGCUUUCUUCCCUCUCCCAUGGAGCUUUUGCUCAUGUUUCCACUGUACCAUGUCUGUUGUUCGAGAAAAGAAAUGAUGUUUAUCCUUAAGGAUGAGAAUGAUGUGGCAUCUCCCUCCCACUAGCUGGUGGUUUAGUGCCAUGUGUUUCAUCCCCUCUGCACGAAGGUGGCAAGGAAUCAGGUGAGCAACCAUCUUUCUCUUUCUUCCAGGAUUCAGGAUUUGAUGAUUUGGGUUGCUUCAUUCGUGCCGGUUAAUCUGGUUGAUUAAGGCCUGCUUAUUAAAUGGUUAUGCAUCUUGGGUCAUGUCACUUGUUUGAUUAGUAGGUCAGUCAAGGUUUGAAUUUCUGAUUUGUUUUUUCAUUCCUCAUGUUCAAGCUAGUUGUUAUGGUCAGAUGCCCAUGUUAACAUGUCAUGGCCCGACCCAAUGUCAGCCUUGCUCGUCAUCAAAGUCGUGGCAUUUGUCACUCGAACAAUGCAAAUUCAUGCUAAUCCAAACUCUCCAUGACUGCAAACCUACCCUCCCCACUUCAAAUGAGUAGAAACACAAAAAAAGGCAUGGAAACAUUUUUAAUUUCAGUACUAAGCUGUAUUGGGUUGAUCUGUAGAAAAUUUGAGGCGGUUCAAACUGGUUGCUGGUACUGGUUUAUUGGCUAAUGUGAUACAUGCUGACCAACACACCUAGUAUUUUGAGUCCUUGGUCAAGACCCAUUAUGCUUUUGUCUGGUUCUUUGUUCACAUCCGCCUUUUUUAUCUUGAAGAUGGAUGCUUGUGUAUUCAGGAGACACCGCAGAUAGCUAUGGGAAGAAUGGGGGCUAGGAAGCUAAAUGUGAUUGGCAAUUUGGUAUCAAGAACAAGCUUAGGUGGGGACUGCAAUGAUGGCCUCUUGUAAUUUCGUGGAUGACUCAAACUAGUAGUGAUACUAAUACAUAAGGGGGGAAAAAGUAUUGCCUAUAUUUUAUUUUAAGCAGUUCAUAACAGAGUAGUAUAUGCAAAUGGUGUUUUAUUGAAAAAUAUUAAUACUUCUUAUGCAUUGCAACUGCUACUAUUUGGAUAUGUUGUUUGUACUGCUAUAAUAUGGACCAUGGACUACUGUGUGAUAUUUGUUUGAUUAGAUGAUGAGAUGAUUUUCACAUAGAGAAAUCACACUAUGCUUUAAAAAAUUAAUUAUAAUGCUUGUAUACAAUGUUUGAGUGCAUGACAGUGCACUAAAUUAUUUAUUUAGUUGAUAAAUCUAUAUUCUGCAGCAGUCAGCAACCUAUGUUGUGCAUAAUUAAUUAGUUUGGUUAUAUACAAAUAUAAAUAGAUUUGGAUGAUGGAUAAUCUAAGAAAAUGGCUUUUUUGUGUGGUAAAAGAUAAUGAAGAGCUACAUGGUUCAAAUUGUGGUCACAUACUUGAAUUAUAACAGCUUGUUUCCCACAUUUGUUGGACUGGAGAUGAAAGCAAAAUGGUCACUGGAAAAAAUGAAAUUGGCUCUAGUUCGAUCAAUUAAGCUUCUGGUUUAUGAUAUUUUAGAACACUAGAGACAAAUUUGACUUAUACAAGAGCCGUGCUUCAUCAAUAUUAAUAUCAUACCUGCUCUAUAAAUGACAAGAAAAUUCCCAAAACCGUUUUUAACAAUAUCCAAAACUAUUACAUUAAGGUGAUAUUAGUGUUAAGUUGGCUAUGCUCCUCUGUUUUCAAGGUAGAGUAGGAGGAUAUUGUGAGAUAAGCUGAUCUAAAUGCCUUGGAUACACAAAGAAAUGCACUCGGAGCUAAGAGUAGCCAAUGGUGAAUUUUGAACUUUUGCCACUAAUAUUUGAAAGGGUUGUGAGGUCACUAGUUCCAUAGCAUGGAGCACCUGCAAAAAGUUGGCUAUUGGAGUGUAGUUAAAAUAGUCUGUUGUGUCCACAAAGCAGAGUGACAGUCACAAAGGGGUAAAUGUUCAUUGAAAUUUGUGAUUGCAUUAGUUUAGUCGACUUCACGUGUUAACUACCUUAAACUUCAACAGUUUCAUUUUUUUUGUACAAAUCAACAACUUCAUUUAAAUCUCAGUAAUUACCACAUGUUUGACAAUGCUAGUUGGACCAAAGGGAAAGUCUGCUAUUCAUAAAGAGAAGUAACUGAAUAAGACAUGUACAUAUACACAUAAUUAUGGUUCCCUAGAUUAUUGUGUCCAUCUAAAAAGACCAGUUUUCAUGUUUUACUGAGUUAUUUUAUGUGGGCAUCCCAAUUCAUAAAAAUUCAUGAAGUCAGAAAUCAUAUGUUCUUAAUCCAGUAGAUAUGUAAAGAAUGAAGAGAAUAAACUGAAAUACUUGCUGACAUAAUAUGCAUGUAGAGGAAAUGAUCAAAGAAGUCUAAACUAUUUAAAUUAUACAUUGACACUUUUUCUUUGAUAAUUUUGAUGUUCAUUGAAAAAAAUUAUCUUGAAUUGAUGAAUCUCUGAAUCUUGAUUCUCUGAAAUUACUGAUUUCCACUCUUACACCAGUUAGUAUUGGAAUCGUUUCCACACCCAUACAAUGGCAGCAUAUUCACAUGGAAAAUGCAUGCAUACAUACAAAUAUAUUAGAUAAAUUGACAAAUGAAUGCAUACAUUAGACAUCAGCAUGUUAACUGCUAGAUAAAUCUCAGAAUCAUUGUUUCAAACAGCUGUAAUCAUGCAUAUUUGGCAAAGUUGCUUAUCGCUAGUUUACUUGACUCAGUUCUGAUCCCAGAGAAACACUUGCAUUGGCAUGAUUAGAUAUAACAUUUCCAUCUUAAUCAUAUGUUGCAUUUCUUCUUAUAAUUGAAGUUCAAUAAUCAUUAAAGUUUACCAAGUUUGUCAUGUUGAUUUAUUCACUUUUUAGGUCCAAUUGUUGAUAUAUUUCAUGCUCAAAUAUGCAAUGGAGAUUUUACUUUCCGAAUCAAGUGUCAUCACCACAUACUACUUUAGGUGGUCAACAAGUUCAGUGGCAAUAUUUCUGGCAGUCCUCGGCCUAACAGUACUUCCUGUUAAUGCCAUUGUUGGAACCUACAUUAGCAACAUGUUUGAAGACAGGUAUUUAACAAAUUUAUAAACCUCUGAUUUUUAUUCUAUGACUAUUAUAUGAUCAGGGAAUUGUCGUCUGCCUUUUCUGGUUUAGAUCUAGAAAGUCCUUCCUGAGUAAACUAUUUUCUAAUGAUUUCUAUAUUAUUGUUCCAUCUCCCAUGAGAUAUAUUCUUUUUUCCCCAAUUCUGUUUUUUGUAGUAUAAUAUGCUCCAUAGAGCUGUAGUGUUCCAUGUGCACUGGCAGAUAUGCCAUGGCCUGACUUAAUUUUUUUAUAAUUUACAAUAUGAAGUAUACUUGGCUAAUCUUGAAACAAUUGCACCACUUGUGCUCUACCCUUGCGUACACUUAUUCAAAAUGAUCCUCUAAAGCAAGGUAUGCCAUACCAGCCCGAACUAGGCAGUAGGGGCAUACUAUACCAUACUGGUACUUGGUACAGGUGGCGUAUUGACACUCGGUAUGCCAAAAAAAAUCCACACUAUACUGUACAAAUAUUGUGCUACUGUGGCACCGGUAUGGCGUCCGAUACCGAGACGAUGAACAUUACUCUAAAGGAAUACUGUUGGAAGUCGGCCGCUUUCAACUUGACCCUUAAAAUGUAUUUGGGAGAUUCAACAUUUAUGUUAAUUAUUUAUAUGAUUAGUAUUAUUAAACUGUUUGAUUAUUGCUUGCAUAUCUUUGAGUAGAAGCAUCAGCCAAGAAAUAAUCUUAGAUGCAUCCAUAUUAUCCGAGUCUGAUUAGCUAGUCUUUGUUCUAUAGGAGCUUCAGUGAUGGAAAUAAUUUUUUUGGCCUCUAUUUACCGAUAGACAAAGCGAAGCAUGGAAGCGAGUGUAUUUUGCUUGAAUUAGAUAAACAAGUUCUGGGGUGCUUCACAAAAGAAUAAAUCAAGCCCCCUUUUAUUCAGAUUUUUCAUCUUAUUGACUUGUCCAGAAAUAUUUCAUUCUUUUAUGUAAACAGUGUAGUUUCUCAUGCAAACAAGCCAAAAUGAAUAUGAAUGGGUGAAUCUUUUAGCAAAUAAUUCUUUCACUAGGGCAUGAUUCAAAGUAGUUACUUGUGGUUAGAGUACAUUUCAUUAUUUAAUUCAUUGAAAAAUAAUUUCAUGAGCGUAUUAUCUUCUUUUCAUUAUAGACAUGGUAUGCUGUACCGGUCGGUACCGAAUGUACCGUACCUAUACCGAUGGGUACCGAUAUCGGUACGUCAAUGUCGGUACACUUGGCAUACCGCAUAUCGUACCGUACCGACACUCGGUACGUCUAUACUAGUGCGGCACCGGUAUGGAGUUCUAUCAUACAUUUUAACAGACCAAAGUUGUUAAGAUAUUUGCAUGAAAUUACUAGUUUCUGUUUUUUUUUUAAGUUAGAAGGUUUUAUGUUAGCUACUAAGUUCAGAAAUAAAAAAGAAGGAAAACUGGGCCCAGACUAGAUGCUUCUCUCAUGUAUGCUAUGGUAGGUUUGAAACCUAAAAGAGAAACUCAGAAAGAGAGAGAGAGAGAGAGAGAGAGAGAAUAUUAUGACCGAUGGAGCUCUUUUGCAGUCUUUCUUUAAUGCGUGUCAAGAAGACAAUAGAGAAUUAUUCAAUAAACAAUACAAAAGAAAAUCUGGUUUGGGUGGUAAGUUCUAGUUCUCCUCUUUAGUCGAUCCACUCAGCCAGUUUAAUAAACCCUUUGGAAAAUGAAAGAGGGGAAUUUCAAUUAUCUGUCUGUUUCCUUCUCUUCAGUUAGCAUAAUAUAUUUAGACACAGACACACACGGAUACAGAUACACACACCGAGGAUGUAGAUGCAAGGGCUUAUAAAAUUUUAUGUAUGAUAAUGCUUAAAAAGCAUGCAUUUACUGGAUAACCUUUAAAAAUUAGGAUAAAGUUUUGGGAUAGCCACUAAACAUGUUCUAUCAAUAAACAUUCAAAUCAAGUAGUUGGAAAAUAUUUGAACAUUUCUCAUUUAAAAGAAUCUUUCUUGAAAACUAUAAACCAGGCUAGUAUUUAUCAUAGCAUUAAAGGAGGGGUAGGGGGCUGAGUUCCUCCCCCCUACCGUUGCAUAGAUGUAGAAUCAGUGAUCACAUCAAUUGGUCGUGUUUUGCAAGAUGGGUCAACCUCUUAUACAGGAAAAUAAUGGUUGGAAAUGAAAUCACCAGCACUUGUCUAUGUCUAUGUUUUCUAAUUUGGGUUUAAUGUUGUUAUAAAGUCAGCUUUUAUAUGCUAAUUUUUUUGCCAUUUCCUUGUAAGACAGAAACUUGUGAUUUUGCUUAUACAGUUUGUGUCUUAUUAAUUUGAGUAUGCUCUCUCUCUCUCUCGUUUGUUAUAAGAUGGAGAAUCAUUCCCUGCCUUCAAUUAUAUACUAUAAGCAUUAGAAGAGAGUAUUCAGUUUUGCAAAGAUACAAUUUAUAUCUUUUUUUUUAUUAAUGAUUAGAAUAAUUGUUUUAAAAUUCUAUGUGUGUGCAUGCAUGCACCGUGGAUGUUUGCUUCUGCAUGGAUGGUAUAUUUGACAAAAACAUUCAUAUGUAAUUACGUAUGUUUUCCGACUUACAGCUAAUAUAGUUGACAAAUUUAUGCCAGUUUGUCUUCUAGGGUCUACAGCUUCUCUAAAUUUAUGGUAUCAGUUGACUUGAGUGUCCUAUACUCCUAUCUGAUAUAGAAGAUGGAUGCCCAAAUUACUAAACUCUGGCACCAAAUAAGCAGAUGAUUUUUUAUCUGAAUUGUAUCAUAAAUCCAAAUUUAAUACUUUAGUAGAAAUUAAAUGCAAAGCUCUCAGAUCCCAACAUUGGCACUAACUAAACAGAAAGUCGCCAGAUCAUUUCUCUGAAUACUAUUGUACAACUAGAAUUAAUACUAUUUUAGAAAUUAAAUGCAGAGCUCUUAGAUUAGGAUUUCAUUUUUGAGGCUUUGUUGGAUGUUAAUGCCAAAAUGAGCACCAUGGGUUGACAAGCUCAAGGACUGUCCAUUGGUCACUAGUGUAAAGAAUACAAGGAUACUGUCUGUCAUCAACUAAUAACUAACUGAGAGCAUAAAAUAUUUGUACACUUUGGUCUUCUUUCACGAGUCAAUUAGCCCAUCAAAUUGCAAAUACAAUUUUCAGUCUUUGUGUUACAGACUUGAGACUUGAAUAUAUGUCUAGCUAAUGUUACUUUGGCUACAACUGUAAUAAGCCAAUUGAAGGUAGUUUCUAAGUCUAGUUUUUGUUGAUUUAAUGGUUGAUAUUUUGCAGGCAAAUCUUACUAGCGUCAGAAAUUAUGGUGUUAGUAGGCAUAAUUCUAAGUUUCCACAUCUCAAGGUUGUAUACAGUGCCACAAUAUGUUUGCUCAGCACUUAUUACAUUUGUGUUUGCAGAAGUUCUUGAAGGUAAUUUAUGUAUGCUUCACUGGAAUAACUACUAUGUUUUGUUUCUCAUUAUAGAUUCUCAACAAAAGCCUCUCUUUACAUUUUCAGUCAAAUUUCUAUUUUUUCGUCGGAGUUAAGACCUUCCAUAUGCUCAUUUUUAUUUUUAUUUUAACAAAUAAUCUUUAUAUGUUAUGGUUGUAUGUAAUGCACUACUAAGGGAAUGUUGGCUAUCUCUAAUGCACUACUAAGGCCAAUUAAUGAAAAUGAUAACAAUGGGAAAUAGGGUAUAGGAUUAUGAAAACAACACAAUGUUAUUAGUUAAUUUCUUAGAUGAAGUCUAUGGUAAGGAAGCAAGAACAGGUUAAUUUACAGUUGUAGAAAACUGUUUACCAAAUCAAACUUGAGCUGAUUGUCCCUCAUAAGUCGUAACCAUCUUGUGUUUCUGUUAAAAGACCAGUUACCCAAAAUAGAUUUUUCUUUUCUAGGGCAGCUUUAAUUUCUAUAAUAAGGUCUUUGCAUUAAGUAGCAAUUUAUCUUUGGACUAGUUUUUUUGUCCCAAAAUUUCAAAUUUAUUGCUUUAGGCUUUUACCAUCUUAAAAGAAUAGGAAUAGAAGAGAAAAGCUAAAAUGUGCUUAACAUAUUUUACUUCCAUAGCAAAGUGUUGCUUCACUAUAAUUUCUAAGAUGGUUUUGUUCAAACAUGGUAAGAAUGUGAAUUAAUCACAAAUUUCAAUUAACUAAUAUGAAUUAUUUGCAAAAAUGAAUUAAAAGUGCAUAAUACCUUUUAAAAAAAUUCAAAUGUUUUGCUUUCAGUUUUUCUUUCCAUGUCCUUGUGAUGAUAUGUGCCUUUUUAUUUUCAAAAAACAUUAUUAUAUUAUUUGCUAACCACCCAUGGAUUUUGAUGAGUUCUAGUAAUUGAUGGCAUGAUUUUGUUUAAGUGGCACAGUAGUAAUAAGUUGUAUUAGGUCAAAUUUGCCCAAACUUGAAGUUUAUUGAAUAUAUGAGCAGCCAACAUUCUCUUAUGCAUAGUUGCCAUCCAAAAAAACUGAUGUAGGAAAACUUAGUGCAGGAAACAAGAAACCUUAUCAUUAUGCAAACAAAAUAUAUUACAGAAAACACAUGAAAAUGUAUAGAAACCAUAGGAAACUCCACUGAUAACCUAGUUUUAAAUGUGUCAUCACUGAUUUCCGAAGUUGGGUUCAAUUUGAUAAAAAGAUAAAAUUCUAUUGAUAGAUCCUUUUAUACUUCUCCAUUGCUAGUACAUACUCUCUUCCAACAAGAAAACCCAUAAAAAGUUUUUAUGUAUCGCAAAAAUGAAUGCUUUUAUCAAGAUAUUUAGAGCGAAUCUUUAGUUCAGAUUGUUCUCCUUUUUUCUGUUUUGAAUUGUCUAGAGCUUAGACUUUUAAUCAGUGGGUUGGAAUAGUUGAUGGGCAGUGCAAAGAGCAAUAAUGUCUCUCCCUCUCCUUCUCUUCCUCUCCCAUUGUUGCUGUAUCUCUUUCUUUAAUGCUUAUUUGUUGAGAGUUUUUGAUUUUUAAUAGUUUUAGAGCAAGUUUCCUAAAGGAGCCGCAUUGGUUUCUAAUUUGAUUUUCUCAGAAACUCUCAGCUGGGAAAUGGUUUUCCUGGUGACUAUGGUUUUAAUUUGUGCAGGUCCUCUUUGACUAGCAAUAAAUACCAAACUAUUUGUCAUGCCUUGAAUCUUGGACUUGUUUUACUCUUAAGGAAUGUUUUCAUAGUCAAUCCAUAGUCAAUUGAGAGUAACAUUGACUGAAUAGAGUAUAAUUGAAAGUGUAUCACAAACCAUUAAUUCCAUGGGUUCAAAAACCACUGGCACGAGAUAGUACCUUCAGUGUUAUACCAUUCCGACAUGAUAUCUGCACUAGUGUGGGCACAGGGAUGCCAAAACAAUCCGCAUUGGCAUGUUUUGACACAUCCGUGCCUACUGCCAGAACUUUGCAGACCGUAUCAUUGUAUCAAUCGUUUUUCCUUCUAUUUGAUGUUCUCAAUUGUCGCACAUAUCGUCAGUACCAGUACCUUAUCAUUUCAAUGGAAAAUCAGUAUGGUAUUUGAUACUGAUAUUUGAUACUUUGAUAAAUUGUAAACAAAACCUAUUUACCUAACUUUAAGAUAGCUUAUUAUACAAAAUAAUGUACCUUCAGAUACAAACAAAACAAGAAGUACUAUAUUCUUGGUAUCACUUAAUUGACCGCUAGAUCCAAAACCAACUUCAAAACACCAAAUCCUCUUUAUUGAGAUAGUUUAUGUAUUUGAUUGUCCGGAUGAAGAAACUACAAAGCUUAAUAAAUAGAUGUCAUGUCCUAAAGUUAAAUGAAUCAAUUUUAUAAUGAUUGCCAACAAUCAAUUUUUUCUGAUAUGACCAAAACAUAUAUUUUUAAAUUAAUAUUUCACAAUUUCACGUUUUCUUACAAAGAUGUUCACUUAUGUACUUGAGGCCACAUAAAUUCUCAUCGCUGAUGCUGGUGAUGCCAUAUAUAUCCUUAUCAGUAAACUGAAUGAGACUAUGUAUGUAUAUGAGACCUACAUAUAUAACUUGGCCCAAAUCAUCAUUGCUUAUGCAAGUGGGUCCACAUAUGUCCUCACCGGUGAACUCGAUGAGGCCAUGUGUAUCUUUGAGAUCCACAUAUACCAAUUAGCCAAGGGUCCAAAUGUAUCUGAUUGAGGUCAAAUAUAAUACCUUGCUAGGGGGUGUAUGUAUAUUCUUAUGGAUAUCUGGAAAGAGGCUACAUAUACCACUUAUCUAGAAGCUCAUAUAUAUCUUUUAAGCAUGAUAUUUUUUUCAAAUCUUACACGGAACAUUUAUUGGAAAGUUAGAAUGGAAAUAAACAAAUGUGGAAGAGGUUCCAAUAAGAAUAUAAUCUCAAGUCAGAAUCCAUAUGUACGAGCAUAAUGAUCAAUUGAGAGCCUCGAAUUAUUCCAAAAUUCUAGCAGAAAUCAAAACAUAAUUUCAAACUAACAUAGAAAUCAAAUUUCUAAAGAAGAGUAUGUAAGAAUAUUUGCAGCUAACCAUAGAUUUCAAUGGACAGAGUUUGAGUACUAGACUACUUUAGAAAUGUAAGCCAAUUGUAGUGCGCAAAAAUUUCCAUAAAAAACCCUAAAUUUGGGAAAAAAAUUUACUAGGCUCAAAAACAUACAUUUGUGAGGCAUGAAGAAAUUGGUUACCAAGGAAUCCAUAACUUCCCUUUUCUCCUCCUCUUCCUGUUGUCAAAGGCCCAUCUACCCAUUCCUUUUUCCUUCUCGCUUACCUUCAUUAGCCUCUAUUUGUAGGCUACGUAUGUCAGACCACUUGGUUAAGUCAGCUGUCAGUAUACAUUGGUUCCCUUUGGUUAAUUAUGAACAUCAACAUAUUAAUCAUCUAAGGUAAGGUGUUUCUACAUCAUGUCUAAGGCUUAGUAGGCAAGCAAGUUGUUUACUUAGCAAACAAACUAGUAAAUAUAGAUCUUAUUUACAUGAAUAUUAUUAAAUGAAUAUCCACUUUUAUGAUAUUACAUGUAAACAAGGAAGUGCUUGUCAUUUGACUUCAAUAAUUAAAAGUUUGAUUUUAUAAAGAAUAAAAGGUCAAGUUUCAACUUUAAUACAAAUUUGAGUUUUGGAGGUGGGAUUAAAAUGAUGAUUUUUAAAUGCUAAGAUAUUUCUCAAAUCUUAAGGGUUUACAAAAUUCAGUAUAUCCAAAUAUUGCUAAAACCGAAGAUGGUAAGAAAAGACGCAUGCUUUUAAAAGGUUUCAUCUAAUAUGAUGACAUUAAUCAGUGCAUAGCAUUUUACGAAAAUGAUUCUUUUUCAAUUUUUCGACAUAUGCACAUAUAUUUAUUUUCUAGGUAUAGGUUGGGUUACAUUAUUAUUAACAGCUUUUGCUUUUAUCAACUUCCUUUAUUCUUCCUCUAUUAUUAUAUGAUUCGCAGCUGAAAUACUUGAUGCAACAGACAUUGCCCAUCAUUUACUGAAGCAGUAAAUUAUCUUGGAUGGUCUUAUUGACUUUAUUUAAUCAUGUGUUGACUGGCAUCUGAAUGUGUUGUUGCACAAACAUUUUCUGAUUGCUCAAAUGCAGGUGUCAAUCUAUCGCUCCUGUCUCAAGUCAUGUCAUCCCGCCUUGCUCGUGGAACCUACAAUGGUGGGCUGCUAUCAACAGAGGCUGGAACCCUAGCUCGAGUUGUUGCAGAUGGCACAAUUACACUGGCUGGCUACAUGGGUGUAGACAAGCUCCUUAAUGUCACCUUACUCCCUUCACUAUUUAUUUGUAUAGGGUCCAUUGCUGCCACUGUCCUCACAUACAACUCUCUUUUCUAAUAAAUGCAUCAGCUGUAUAUUAGUUAAACAGGUCAUUAAAUUAAUUCAUAUCCAAUUUUCCGAUAAGGUUUUAAUCAUUUUUCUCAAGUUACCAUGUUUCAGAAACAGUUCUCCUGCCCUCAAUGAUCUUAAUGUAAACCUGAACAAGUAGCCUUAGCUUCCCUAUUUCUGCAAUAUCUAUAGAAAACUCUCAAACGGUUCAUGGUGCUCGCUCGAGGGUCAUCCAAGUCCCCACAACGUGCAUUGCAUGUGGUAUAUUGUAGCCCAACAAUGUUAACUGGGAAAUCUCACAUACGCCUCUCACCUGUAAUUUCCAUAGGUAAUUUCCUGACUAGUACAUUAAAGACCAAUCAAAAGUUAUAAGUCUGCUGUCUCAUAUUUUUUUUGUUUGAGAUUGUGAAUUGAGGCUUGCUCUAGUGGUCAUAUUUUUCAGCUCGGCAAGCAGGAGAUUCUAGAUGUGAGGACUCAUGCAAGUAUGUAUUUAGUCCCAUAUUGACUAUUUGUCGAGGAGAUCUUGGGGCAGGACUAAGGAGCCUAAAAUAACUAGUCAUUUUGGGUGAGGUCGAGGGUUAUUACAAAUAUGUAAGGAUCUGGAUGGGUGUAUAUUUAGUCCCACAUCGUUUAUUCGCUGAAUAGAUUUUGGGUACUUAUACAGAAUUAAAGAAUCUAAAUAAUACCUUUCGGCUAACUUUUUUGGAUGAAGUCCAUGACAAAUAGUAUCAAAACGAAUUCGGCCCAUAGCCUAUGUGAACUAGAAAAUACUGUAGCAUGGGUUCAUGGAGACUGAUCACAAACCGAUCGUAGUGUUUGUAAUUAGAUUUGAAUCGAUUUGAAUCGAUUUGAAGUCUUAGCUUGACUAGAACGUUAGGAUUUGAAUGAGAUGAGUAUGGAGGACCCGUGUGGGUGUGUUUAGUCCGACAUUGGUUAUUUACUAAGGAGAUCUUGGGUACUUAUACAUAACUAAAAAAUUUAAAUAAUACUUUUCAUCUAGUCAUUUUUGGGUGAGGUCCAAGGUAAUUACAAAUAUGUGAGGACCCACGCGGGCAUAUGUUUAGUCCUAGAUUGUUUAUUCGUUAGAUAGAUUUUAGAUCUUAGUCAAUCCAUUAAGAAACAAAUGAACUCUUGAAUGAAUUUUUGUAAAAUAAACGUAAAAAUAUUAUAAAAUAAAAAUUAGACAAUGGUAAAUGCUGGUUGGUGAUUGAUUAGACAUUAAGAGUAAAUUAUAUGAUUGAAAAAUUGCUGAUCACUUGAUGAUCAAUUGCACCCAUAAAGGGAGUCAACUUUCUCAGGAGCCAUAUUUCAAGAAUGCAUAAGAUGGCUUACUGAAAUAAUCUAGGUACAAAAGUCUAUCCGUCUAAUAGAUAGCAUGUCUUGUUGUAGAUGCCUAUCUAAUACUAUUAUCAGGGGACAAGGAUAAAUUUAACUCUUGUUGGGCAAAGGUUGUGGUCUAGUACAAUAUCUUUUAAUUUUUAUUGGAUGGGGUAACCAUCAGAUAUAGGUAAGCUAUAUAUCAACACUAGAAAUCAUCAAAUUCAUGGAAUGCGGGACAAGGACUAUCUAGAUUUUGGUAAGUCUAUGCUUUAACAUAGAAUAAUGAAGUUUUGACAAUAGAUCUAUAGUGGAAUUUACUUAUACCAGACAAGAAAACCAUCAGAUAAUCUAUUUAAUAAUGUUAAGGUGCUCUUUGGAUACUAGCAUAGAUCACCUAUAGUUAAUAUGUGCAGUUGGUGAAGAGAAGAGGAAGAAUCCGAUUUGGGAAACAAAGUAUAUGAUGGAGGAAGACAUGGAACUCAUAAUCUCUGAAUCUUAAGAUAAGAUAAACUGGAUUUUUUCGCAAUUUGUUAUCCCUAGAAAUUAGAGGUGAUUUGAUCGAUUGCUUCUCCACAUUGCAUGCUUUUUCUUCUCUUUCUUUGUCGACUUCUUACCAUUUCCAAUAGCAUGCGAGGUUAUAACAGAUAAUCGAUAUGAGCAUCCAAAUAGGGUUUAACGACCUAGAAAUUCAGCCAAAAAUACUACCUGAAAAAUAUUAUUUAGGUUUCUUGGUCCUAUAUAAAUAUCUAAGACCUAUCUAGUACAUAACAGAUAUGGAACUAAACACAUGUCUUCAUGUAUCGUCACAUAGUUUCCCCGUUUAAGCAUCGGUAUUCUCACUAGGCUAAGGAUCCAAAUUCAAUCAUAUCUAAUCACAAAUACCAUAAUCAGCUUAUGGUUAGCCCUGAAGGGCUUAUGCUAUAAUGUUCUUUAGUCCAAAUGAGCCAUGAGUUAGUCAGCAUUGAUACCAUUCAUAAUAAUCAAGGACCUCACCCAAAAAGGCUAAGCAAAAGUGUUAUUUUGGAUUCCUUAGUCCUGUAUAAUUACCUAGAAUCUUCCCAAUACACAAUAAAUGUGGGACUAAAUAUAUGCCAACAUGAACUCUCAUAUACUUAGAUCUGACCACGGUCCGAUUCUAAUCGGGGAACCAGACCGGAACCGAACCGGAAAUAACCGGAUCGGAACCGGAACCGUGUCUCACGGUUCUUAACCGAACCGGAACCUUGAGGAAAACGGUUUGGUUAAGGUUCCAGAUUUGAUGGAACCGAAUUGGAACCGCAACCGGAAUCGAACCGAAACCGGCAGUUCGGUUCCAGUUCGAACCGAAAAAACCGACUAUUUUAUCCCUCCUAACAACUAAAAAAUGGCUAGUUUAAGGGGCAUUUUGGGAAACGACUAUUUUACCCCUCCUAACAACUAAAAAAUGGCUAGUUUGAGAGUCAUUUUGGAAAACAUUUAGUGCUGGAGGUCAAAUUUUAGAUGAGCGACGAUCUUGUUUAAGGCCGAAUAACUUGGAAGCCCAAGCAUGUGUUGUUGAUUGGAGAAAGGCAGAACGUAGAUUACAAGAUAACACAUUUGAGGACAGUGAAUACUUAUUUGACAUUGGAACUAGCGGAUCGUCCNNNNNNNNNNNNNNNNNNNNNNNNNNNNNNNNNNNNNNNNNNNNNNNNNNNNUCAACCAUGAAGGUAAGUGAACUACGAGGGCUUUGAUUCCUCUAAACCCCAAGAGGAUACGUAGGCAGCUUAAUUUUACUUAAGUUCAAGCCUAAUUUUUUUCUUUUUUUCCAUUUAUAAUAAAAUAAAUUAGUUCCAAAUUUAUUUAAUGUAACUUAUUAUUUUUUUAUAAUGUUAUCUAGUUGUAUUAUUAAAAUUUACUUUGAUAGUAAAUAAUAAAAUGAGGUACAAAUUAUCAUUUUAUAUUAAUUACACAAUCUAUUUGUAUUUAAAAUUUUUUUUCAAAUUAAUUACACAAUCUACUGUUUUUUCAAAAUUUUAUAAUUUAUGUUGAAAAAUCGGAAUCGGAACCGUUUAGAACCGGAACCGGAACCGUCUAGAACUAGAACCGGAAUCAUCUAGAACAGGAACCGGAACUGGCGGUUAUAGAACCGGAACCGAACCGACUAUUUUCGGUUCCGGUUAAGGUUCUAGGUUUUUGUGGAACCGGAACUGGCGGUUCCAUAAUUGAAACCGACGGUUCCAGGACCGUGGUCAAGUCUACAUAUACUCCCCUAUUUAAGCCAUGUGGGUGUAUAUUUAGUAUCGCAUCGGUUAUGCAUUGGAGAGUUCUAUUGUACUUGUACACUUUUCAACUAGUUUUUUUGGAUGAGAUCUUGGGUUGUUAUAAAUGAUAUCAAAGUGGACCCAGUUUAUGACCCAUGUAGACUAAGAAAUACUGCAGCAUAAGUUAUUUAGAGCAAACCACAGACCGAUCAUGGCGUUUAUGAUUGAAAUUGAACCCUUCACUUGGCAAGGAUACUCAGGUUUAAAGAGAGGGAGCAUGUGAGGAUUCGUACGAGGGUAUGUUUCAAUUUCAUAUUGAUUUUAUGCUGGAGAAAUUUUGGAUACUAUUGUAAAGUAAAGGAAUCUAAAUAACACCUUUUGCCUAGCCAUUUUUGGUGAGGCUCUAGGUUGUUACAAAAGGUAUAAAAACUUUUACUUGUAAAAAUGUUAAUUAGUCAAGUCGCCCAGUAUUUGGAGCAAUGUUAAAAUAGAUCGCAUAUUAAACAUAAAGAAAUACAAAGACAACUUCACGAAGAUUUGAUUGAUGAGGCUUCAAGUUUGCUUUCAAGCUAAUCCAUGGCUAUCUUAAAUAAAUGAAGGCCUACCAAAAUUAGUAACAAUAGUAAAUCACUGAAUUUUUAGAAAUUUUUGUAAAACACAAAUUUAUUCAAAAUAUGCUCGUGUUGAGAUGAUUUAAACCUUUAUGGAUCCUGAAACUAAGGAAAGAAAUUUCUCAAAUGGAAAGAUCUAAUGAUUACGAUGAUAAGUACUUGGAUUACAUGCUUCAGCUAAAAAUCAUAAUGAAUGAAUUUCGGACAGAUCAUUCAUGUAAGAUGCACUGAACACAUGAAUAUUAUGUAUCUAAACUAGCAAAUAUGCAAAGUGUUAAAAGAUAUAACAAGAAAGUAAUCAAAUUCCUUUUGAUAGAAUGAUGCUCUAAUACGUAAGGGAAAAACUUAUUAUCAACAAUUUUUUAUUUGUAGAUGAGGGCUUCGAAAGAAAUAAAAAAGGUCAACCUAACUGAUGAGAGCGAAUGUCUUUGAAAGAAACUACUUACGCUGUUUUUAAAUAAAGAUAACCGCAAUUUUUCUUAACCAAGAAUGCACCAAAAUGAAAAUGCAUUUAGAUGUGGGGAUUGCAAUCAUCAAUUUUUCCUACUACGUGAUCAUGUCCAUGUCUACUUCUCAUCAUAUGCAUCAUACAUUCCUAAUCAUAAUAAAAGUAGUUUAGUUUGCCCAUGAUAUUCGAUGUCAUAGAUGACCUUCUAUUGCUUUAAAGUUAUCUUGCAAUUGCAACAAGAAGUUGAAAGUUGUGAAGUAAUCCUACCACAAAAAAAGUUGCAAAGUGAGACAAGCCAAUUGGUUUUGCUAUCUAAUUUUUUUAUUAUUGAUUGCCUAGACUCACCUAAAUCAUCCUCAAUUGAUGCAUUUGCAACCCUUCUAAUCGAAACGCUCAAGAUUAUAAAAGAAAAAAAAGAAAGGAUACUCAUUGCUGAUUUCACCUUUAGAUAACUAAGUGAUGCAUCUUUGUCAUUGCUACUAAAUCUAUCCAAGUAUCAAAUUGGCAAGAUUAAUAACUUGCUUCUACGAAAGGGUCACAAUAUUUGACUAUUUAAUAAGAAAUUUUCUUCGCAAAUGUUAUAAUGAUUAAUAAAUUUAUCAAACAAUGAUAUACGACCUUUAAAACUCAAAGCACUUACCAGUGCAAGAAAGUAUUGCAUUAAUAACUACCAAAAUCGCAUAACAAAAUCACUAGCAGAUUUGCUCAAAAGAAACAGAUUUGACUAAAAUAGGCCUUUUAAUUGUCCACUAAAUUGUUAUAUUCUAUAAAUUGUAGCUUUCUAAAACCUAACAGGUUUAAUUAUUCAUGUUGAAAAAGAUGGUAGGAGAACAGGAGGGGCAAAGAGAUGUAGACAUAUAACAAACUAAAAUUAUUUUAUCAACUCCUCGCCAAUUUAAGUACAUAGGCAGUUACUAAUAUUUAUAGACUCGAGAUCACCCAAACGGUUCACGGCUGGUGAAGCCCCUUUUUUUUCCAACUAAAAUACCAAGUCAAGCACCAAUUUCCCCACUGGCAUCCCAAGUGUGACCCAAACUCCUUAUUUUUGUUCCAUCCAUCCAAGCAACUUGGGCGGCUUCUAUCACGAGCUCAUCUUUUUAAACUCAUCCAACAACACCACCCAACACUUGUCGCUGUUUAUUGCACUGCCAACCAAAAAAACAUGCCUACUUAACACAAUUAUAAUAAUAUAAAACCCUUGUGAAACCAAAAGGCCAAGACUUUCCAACAAGCUUUUCUUGGAUAUAUGUUUUGAAUAUUUUGUGACUGCCACUUUUUCCUAGUGUUAUUAGUAAGUGCAAUCUAGCAAACAUGUAGAAUUUUGAACUUAAAUUAAGGUUUUAUGUUUCAACAAAUCAAUAUCCAUAUUUUAAUACAAAAAUAGGUGUUCAUUCUUAUAAACAACUAGCACUAUAGUCGUCAAUAAGUUACCUAUGAGGGUGGGAUACGAGGAUGCAUGGAUAGGGAGUAAAUUGAGUUGGAUGGAGGCCAGCCAAAUCAACUAGCACUAUAGUCAUCAAUACUUGUAGUUUGUCAUCAUAAUUUGUGGACGUAACUUCAGUUACCCUCUCAACCAUGCAGGAAAGCCAAGGCUAGUUGCUCAUGGUGUGGUGUCCAUGGAUGCCACAAGCACGGCACAUAAAGCAUUCCUGAAGAAUCGCGGCGAGAUCAUCACCCAAAUUCCCAUGCUAAGCGGCGUGGCCAACCAUCUCACCUCUUUGGGCAUCAAAGACCCAGCCCCUGGUUUUGCCAGAACAUGAGAGUCAACCCUUUAUAAGUGGCUUCACCAUCCCCUCUCCAUCGCCUAUUGGCAUCUCUCCUAUGCAAGUUGCAGGCAUCACCCAUCAAAGAACCUAGUAACAACAUCAAUCAACUUUACCUAAGAGGUGGGCUAAUUUAUAGCAAAAGUUGCGAAUUUCCGCUCGACUGACGCAAGAUGAGCGUCUUUCUGACCUAAACACCCGUGUGGUGCCCUGGCAUGCCACACACCAAAGCCAGCCCACUUGAGUCCUUCAUUUGGCAUGUAUAUAAAUAAGCAGCAGUCCAACUCUAUAGCCAAGCAUGCACCUUUAUGCCCCUGCUUGGCAACUUUGUCAAACUGAACACAUGUGACACCCUCGAGACUUAUAAAAUCAACUUUUCAUCAAUCGCCUUAUACUCCAAAAACCUCUCUAUAAUGUAUUUUUCUAGACCUUUAUCUUCUUUGCCAUAUUUUUGUUCUUAUACAUCCUAAAAAGAGCAAAUAAAAUUCUACCACGGCAAAUAAAAUUUUUUCAAAGUCUACUUGCAUAGUGGUAAUAGUUGUUGUGGUUGAAUCCCUAAUGGUAGAGGCGAUAGUUCCUUUCUUGGAAUUAGGAUUUUAAUAACAAAAUAUAAUCCUUAAAGGGUCAGCCAAUACCAUAUCUGGUGUUGCCAGCAGCAAAAAAUCUACCUCCAGAAUUUCUCUGAUUUUGCAUAGGUCUAAUCAUUUAAAAAUGGCAUAAGUAAAUAAAAAAGAUUCUGCUCUAAAAUUGUUGAAUUUUUUUAGUGUAAUAUUGUUUUUUUCUUAUUUUUUUACUAAAAUGGGUGAUUCAUACAGUUCAAGUACGAACACAUCCAAAAAAAGUCAAAAAACAACAAAUUCUGGAGCACUCUAGGCAGCUUUCUUUUUCCGACCCAUAGGGCACCUUCAGAGUGUUGAGCCACGUACGAGGCCGUCCAGUCCGCAGCCUCGUUAGCUUCUUUGUAGACGUACUUGGCCUGAAAAGCUGCAUUGCUACUAACCAUGGCCCAUAUGUCUCGAAGCAAGGGAUGGCACCCACCCAUACCACCGGCACUUUCCUGGAUCCAUCCGAUAAUAGUAGCCGAAUCACCCUCAAGCAGUACUGCUCUAGCCCACAACAUGUGUCGAGUCUGACCCAUACCGCCCUCAACUCAGCCCCCAAGAUUGAGGUGUCGCAGAUCUAGCAACUAUCAGCCAUAACCACCUUGAAAUUUAGGCCUCUGAUGACAAAGCCAAUGCAUCCCCUUUUGAUACACAACAAUUCAAAUAAGAUAAAUUAUUGAAAUUACCCAGUUUGAGGCAUGUCUCUUUUUUUUUGUGCUGAAACGGGUAUUUCAUACAACACGGGCAUGAAUACACCCAGUAAAAUCUGCAAACAAAAGGUUUUGGAAUACACCAGGCAAGUCAUCCUCUCCAACCUAUAGGGUGCCUACUGAGUGGCUCGCGACAUACGCCGCUACCCAGUCUGCCACCCUGUUAACCUCACGAUAUAUGUGCAUAGCCUGAAAAGUAAUCCCCUCCCUCACCAUCAACCAUAUAUCACGGAGCAAAGGAUGAACUCCUCCAUUGCUGUGAGGGCCCUUCCGGACCUAGCUGAUCACCGUGGCCAAAUCGUCCUCCAAGAGGAUGGAGCUCGCCUGAAGUACACGCCGCGCAUACCGCAAUCCCAUCCAAGCCGCUCAUAGCUCUGCCCCUGGGACCGAGGUGUCGAAAAACUGACAACUCCUGCUGCCACCGUGCUGGAGCUUGGACCCUUGAUAACAAACCCGGCCCCUCCCCGCCUGCCUCCAUCUAGGACUGAGCCAUCAAAAUUGACCUUAAGGAAACUCGGAGGCGGGGGCUCACAGUGAAAAACACCGUAUGAGUAUCUGCCGAAGCAGUAUGGGGAUCCCAGGUGUCCCGAGCUAUCAAAGGUCUGUGAUCCGAACCUGCAUGAAGAAACUCUACUGCUUGUGCCCGAGCCCGCUCCAUCACGAACCAUAGGGACAGACUAAGCUCGCCAAAAAUCCGGGCGUUCCUGACCAUCCAUACCUAAUAAGCUAUGCAAGACGCCCUAAUAGCCACAAUGCACAUCUGAGGGGAGCUAGACCAACGCCGAACCUCCUCCAGAAAGUAAUCCCUCCGGCUCGAAGCACCCUCGGGGAUCCCGGACAGCCUCCAUGUCCACCUUGCCCAAACACACUGGAAUAGUGCAUGAUCCACUAACUCGUCCACCUCACAGUACAGGCACAAGGGAGGGAUGCUAACACCGCGUCGGCCCAGCGCCGAGCUUGUCGGCAGACGGUUCCAGGCCACCUUCUAGAGGAAUAGUGUAACCCUCUGAUGUAGCCCUCCAUACACAGCCACAGUCCCUACCCAGCUCUGACUCCUGCUAAAAAAUCCGAGAAACAUCACCAACCCUAACUCUGGCCCUACAGGUGGUGCUCCAUACCCUAACAUUUGAACCUACUGAUCCCGGUAUGGGGAGAGCCCAUACACACUCUGCUAAGUGCUCCCAGAAUAACUGACCCAGUCUGUCGUCGUCCCACUCUGCCUCUUCGGCCUGAGGAGGUCGCACACGCGGAGCCCCGCAACCCCCUCACCACUGAUCAUCAUCGGCCACAAACUCAACGGAAGUGCAUCCACCCAUGGGUCCUCCAGGUCAAUGCUCCGUCCGUCGCCAAUCAACUACCUGAAAUGUGUCAAGGCCAAAGGCAAAUACCUCCUAAACUCCCGCCACAUAAAGGAGCUCCUCCGGCUGCCCACCACCUGACUAACUGAGCCUGCUCGACCAUAUCUUGCUAUCAUGACCUGACUCCAGAGUCCAUGUGGCUCCAGAAUGAUCUGCACUGCCCGCAGCGCCAAGAGUGCCUCUCGCUUAGCCAAAAGUGACUGCACCCCCAAACCACCCUUACUCAGUGGCAAGCAAACUCUCUCUUAGGCCACCAGAUGUACCCCAUCGCCCCACCCCCAAAGGACGCCCCACAGGAAGCUGCACAUGAGUCGCUCUAUCCCCACCAGCACCGUCUUCGACACAACAGUAUGAGCUAAUAAGGUAAACAGGCAUAGAAUAAAGAACUGACCUGACCAGCGUCAACUUGCCCAUCAAUAAAGAGUGAUGANNNNNNNNNNNNNNNNNNNNUCCCCACCAGCACCGUCUUCGACACAACAGUAUGAGCUAUAAGGUAAACAGGCAUAGAAUAAAGAACUGACCUGACCAGCGUCAACUUGCCCAUCAUAAAGAGUGAUGAGGCCCUCCAACCCUCAAGCCUGCUCUGCACCCUCUGCACCAAAGUGGAGCACUCCGCCAUCCGCAACCUCUUUCCUGUGAUGGGAACUCCAAGGUAGUCCAGUGCCCGCUCCUGCUCCUGCAUCCCCAAUAUCAUCCUGAUCUCCCAUCUUACCCUCCACUCUGUGCUCGAACUGAAAUGUAUAAAUGACUUCUAGAGAUUGAUUCUUUGCCUGGACGCCGCACAAUACUCGGUCAACACUCUCUGAAAGGCCCGUGCGUCCCUCGCCCUCGCCCUGGCAAGAAGCAUGCGGUCAUCUGCAAAAAGCAAGUGAGAAGUGGGGCAAGCACCAGGGACUGGAGUGUAGGCAGCCAACUCCCAGUUCUCGCAGGCUACAUGUAGAGCACAAAAAAGUACAUCAGAGCAGAUGAUGAACAGGUAUGGGAACAGAGGACAUCCCUAGGAAAGCCCCAUAGUAGCUCAAAAAAAGGACGAAGGCGUACCAUUGAUCAAUAUGGAAAAAUUAGGCCCCUGCACGCAGCCUAGAACCCAGUCAAUCCAAAUAUGAUGGAAGCCAAAACUCUCCAACACCCGUCUAAGAAAGUCCUAGCGGAUCCGGUCAUAAGCACGCUCCCUGUCUAGUUUCACUGCCAUUAAACAUGGCCUCCUCGGGGCUCGCUGUAAAUCUUCCAUCAUCUCCUGAGCCAGCAAAAUAUUGUCUGAUAUACUCCUUCCUCUCAUGAUGUUCCCUGCUACUGACUAAUGAUGCUAGGCAAUAAAGCCUUCAUUCUCCCAACCAUAAGCCUCGCCACUACCUUAUACAAAGUGGUGCACAAGCUAAUGAGCCUGUAGUGGCCCGGCUCCAAUGCAUCUUAAUGCUUUGAGAUCAAAGUGAUAUAAGUAACCUGCCAGUCAUCUGCCAUCACCGCCCGACUGAAGUAUAGCUGCACUGCCUCCACCACUGACCUUCGGAUGAUACUCCAGUAUCUCCGAAAGAAGGACGAAAAUCUAUCCGGUCCUGGGGCCUUGUCCUCUAUUAGGGCUCAUACCACCUCCAGCACUUCCUUAUCUGACACUGGCUGAAUCAAUGCUACAUUGUCUACCUCCUCAACUCUGAUUGCCGGCCCGGGGAGCUGACUAAGCACAUAGGGUCCCCCUACCUCUGUCUACCUGGAUCUGAAAAAGUCAAACAACACCUGUCUCACUGCAGAAUUCUCCUUCACCCGCUGGCCCGCCCCAACUCUCAAUGAUCGUAUCAUAUUCCUUUGCCUCCCGAUAACUGUCGAUUGAUGGAAGAAGCUGGUGUUUCGGUCCCCCUCUUUGACCCACUGUACCCUCGACUUCUGCCUCCAAAAGGUCACCUAUUGAUGCAACAACGAGUGAUGAGAGGUCAAGUAACAUCGUAGGUCCGCCAUCUCAGCCUCCUCAAGCUCCCCAUCUUGGUCCUCCCUCCCCUGGAGAUCCGCAAUCAACACCUCCACCUCCUCUAGUCUCCAAAGAUGUUGCCCACAACCUUCCGGUUCCAUCUGCGAAGGCGGCAUUUAGUGAGCUCUAGUCUGCGCGACGCCCUCUGCAUGGCAUCUUCCUGCACUGGCAUGCCCCAAGCCUUUCUGACUACUUUCCAAGAUUGGAGAUAUGACAACCACAGCUUCUCAAAUCGGAAUGGGCUAUAAUGAUUGGAACUUGAAGCUGUAGAAAUCAAAAGAGGACAAUGAUAAAAGGCAAUCCGAGCAAGGUGACUGACCUAAUAGGAUGGGAAUCACUGAAUCCAAUCUGGAGAUGCAAUAGCCCUGUCAAGCCGCUCCCACACCCUCGCUCGUCCAGACUAAUUGUUACGCCAAGUAAAUCGCGGUCCGGAGAAGCUAAGGUCUACUAGACCGGUCACAGCCAAAAAUCCUAAAACUCCCUCCUAUCCACUGAGUAAGAGUAGACCCUACCAUCUCAUUUCUCGUUGGGGUUAAGGAUACAAUUAAAAUCACCCACCACCAUAGUCGUCACUCCUUGAGUCAACAGACAUGUCAGCUCGCCCCAAAGGACUCUCCUUGUCCGGUAGUCAGUGCUAGCAUAGACCCCACACAGGACAUACGGAAGUUCAUUUAGUUCCGAAAUGACCAUCACAACCUGUUGAGAACAAUUGCAAAAGACAUCUAUAGAAGCCACCCUCCGCUUCCACAACAUCAAAAUACCUUCGAACAAGCUCUGAGACUCUACUACAAAUGAUUCCUAAUCAACUGCCAAACGCUGCUGCACCCGAUGUAACCCUUCUCCGAGCACCCGUGUUUCACAAAGAAAACAAAUCUCAAGGCAAUGAAGUUGAACUAAUCUCUUAAAUGACGACAAGAAUGAAGGCUUGGCCAACCCCCGACAGUUCCCUACUAGAAUCUUCAUUUAACACUAUGGAUGAAGUUUGGUCCUCACUCCGUGGGUUGAUCACUCCUGGUGCAUUAGACUUACCAUCUUCCCCUGACUCCAACACACCUCCCUGAAUCGCAGCUCACAACAGAUCAACCACCUUCCCAUAGUCCUGUAUAGGUGAGUUGGAUCCCUGUCCCAAGCCCCCUGAAAUGCCUCUUAUCACCACCGCCACUGAAGCCAUAGGCGAAUGCUUUACCCACAUUGCCAGUGAACUAGGUACACUUGAGUCCUCCACGUCCCCCGUUUCAAGCCUCCCCAUCCUUCUCUGACAUGACGAGGAAGCCACCCGUUUCUGCAAGACCCUUGCCGAGGCAACCUCCCUCUGUUGGUGCAUAUCCAUCAUCACAACUUUCGUUCCCUUCCCCUUGGCCGAAGACUUCUCGCCACCUCUAGCCACAGCCACCCGCGAUGGUGGGGCCACGCCUGCCGUCACCGGCCCGCUCGACGCGGGUGUUCCACCCUCAACUCGCGAGGUCCCAGUGGCUCCGUCGACAGCUGUGGCACCGCCCGUCACCGGUUAGCUGGGGGCUCUCGUCGGCGGUAGGGAGGCACUCCGGAAGUGCCUCCUCCCUUCCUCCUGCCGGUGUAGGUGCGUUUCUUUGAAGGAGGACGACAAUGCCGAUCUAGGUAGCUGAGUAGGCUCGGUCCUUCCCGCCCCCGAAGCUUUGGUCAACUUGGUCGAGCUCCUAGCCCGCUUCAUCGAGCUUGGGCCCUGUCCACGUGCUAGCUUGGUGUCAGCAACCUAGACCGAUCCUACCUGGCCUAGCCCGUCAUGGAGCGGUAGGCUUGAGCUUGGGCCCGGAUUCAGCCCGACCGAUGCGGCCCGCUCUGGCUCGGCUCAGCCCAGCUGGCCCAAUAGCAUUGUCUGGCCCAUCCUUCCGGCGAACUCCGAGUCCAACCCGGACCCCGCACCGAGUUGGGUCACCUCGGUGUCCUUCAUCACCGAUCGGCCCAUCGCUUCCUUCUCCGGUGACCUCCUCCUAGCCAACUUGGUUGGCUUUUGCCACCCGUCAGUAUCCGUGGGCGACUCGGGAAGGUUCGGUAUAGCAUGGGGGGACCUCGGCCCCGACUCAGAGGGCUCCUGCACCUGCGUUUGGUCGGCCUUCGGUGCGGUAGACUUCUUCACCAGCUUGUUCGACUUUCACUGCCGUAUCUUGGUAGUUGUCAGCCACGGACCGAAGGGAAGCCGGCUCACAAACCGUCCCCCUCCUUCAACUCAGGUGUCGGUUCCUGGAGAGAGUCCUUUGUUUCAGUCUGCUGGGUACGAUGAUCUUCCGAUUCUCUGAACGUCGCCGGAAUCGUGGGAGGAAAGGGGCAAACCCCCUCUCCGUGCCCUAGUCGAGCGCACUUGUAGCAGAAAACAGGAAGGUUUUCAUAGCGGAAUGCCUGCCAGUGUAGGUCGAAACCGACCUGGAUGAAGGUCCCAGGCCGGAUUGGCAUGCACGCAUCCAACUCAACUUUGACACGGGCGAAUCCUAGUUUCCGGCCUUGGUUGGUGACUCUGUCCAGCGCCAAGGGUCGGCCAGCCUUUACCGCUAUGUCCCAAAUCAUCUCCUUCGUCUAGUACUCCAUCGGCAGACUUCGCAACCUAAGCCAAACAACAGCCUGGCACAGUUGAUUGGUCUCCGGAACAAAGUUUGGCCGCCAGCGCUCCAUGGCUAGGAGUUGACCGGCCACUAGCCAAGGUCCGGCCUCCAUAGCAGCCUCUCGAUCCCUCUCACUUCGAAAUCGAAAGCAAAAGUCUCGUCUGCCAUCAUGAAUUCCCCAACAUUGUAGUCGAGUUUUCCGGCCACCCAUAGCUCCUGGCUAAUCCAUUCCACUGGCACUCGGCGGCCUAAGCUACGCAUGAUCACCAUGGUAUCUCGCCACGCCGCCCUAGCCAUCUCCAUCUUCUCCGGCGAAAUCUCCACCACAUCCGUAAACCGCUGUUUUAGGGCUUCCAACUCCGUUGUCGAGAUCUGAUGAUUGGUCCAGGUCGGCAGCCUCGACGGUCCCUGCGCCACAUCCGCCCACAUCCGACCCUUCUUAACCGCCUUCAGAUAAGGUCGUGCCCCCUUAUCGCCCAAGCCCACCGCCUUCGUCUUCCCCGGUUCAGCUGGACCCCGCGUGUCCAUCCUCCACAACGACCGAAGUAUUUGGUAAAAUGCUCCACCGGUAGCACGAAGAUUGAUGCACCUUCCUAAGCGACGUGGACCCCCCCCCCCCAACNNNNNNNNNNNNNNNNNNNNNNNNNNNNNNNNNNNNNNNNNNNNNNNNNNNNNNNNUCCUCCUCCCUCCACUCCCGCCACCUACCCCCCCCCCCCCCCCCCCCCACCCGCCGCACAAUGGGCCCCUCUCCCAUUUCUUCUUGAGAGGCAAGUCUGGGAAGACACUCCCUUUAGAGUAGAAUUCAUUCUGCUUAGGUACAAAUAGUUGGAUGGUAGUUUACUCCCAAGAUAAGACGAACUGCCACCUAUUCUCUUUGAAGUGUACUUUAAUGAAGAAGAAUAAAAGCCGAACUUGAGUCGGUUCACGUCUUGGAAGAUGCUUCCUUUAGAGUCGAAUUCGUCUUGCUUAGGUGCAAAAAAAUGAUAAUAAUCUACUCCCAAGAUAAAACGAGCUGAAGUGUAUUUUAAUAAAGGAUAAUAAAAGUAAAACCGGAGUCAGUUUAAUCUAGAUGCAGUAAAAAUCAGCAAAAUAAAUUGAUGAAUUUUUUUCUCAAUCUACUCUUUUCAAAUGCUCAAAUGUCAAAUUUGAAUUCACUCACUUAGUACCCCACUAAAUAGACCGAGUCAUUUGGCUAUCUAGGACAAGGAUUUAUAUUUAAGUAGAUAUUUAUUUGGUUUUAUAUCCAAUAUGGGACUAUUCUAAAAUAACAAAAAUUGAGUUAUUAAAUUAAUAAACCAACAAAAACUACAUAAGAAUUCCUACAACGAGUUUACCGAGCAGAUAGCGCACAUUGAGUGAUAAUGUUGGAGAGACCAUUUCUUGUUCCUUUGAGAGGAUGACAGAAGAGUUUCUGGAAGCACAUUAUAUACAAGAUUAGCUAAUCAAAAACUAAUUUCUAAAAUCACACAAAAAAAAUCAUGGAAUCAAAGCCUUUCAAUUUCUCCGUUGGAUCAAAACCUUUACAUUUUUCACCAAUGCAUUCAGGUUUUCUGAAUCGAUGGCAAUGCCACGAGAAAGUUCGGCUAGUUGCUUUUCAACAGAGUAAAUGUUUGAAAAGAAGCAUUCACUACUAGUCUCCUGCAAAUUUGAUCUAGAAAGUAGCUAGAAAAAAUCUGCUGUCUUUUUUCAUAUUAAUUCUCUUGCUCUUCUCAACCACCAGCCUUCAAACAAAAACCACCAGUUCAUCAUGUCAUGUAGCCAUGCAAAUACCACAUUGGCAUGAAAGAACAUCUUGUAAGACUAACCAGCCUCACAUAACAUUUUUCUUCCCAUUUACAAACAUGAGCAAUGUUAUCACAAAAUACCUUCAAAAUCUCAUGUUGCCAAUUUCAAUUCCAACGAAAACACGGUCUACAGUUGGGCCCUUAUCAUUGCGUGUGGUCCUCUCCACUCAAUGAUUAGGGUUGGUUAUAGGCUAGAAUUCUUAGCAACAGGACUCAUCAACUUUGUUGGUUGUUAUGUCAUUAUUCUAGAAGAAUAGGACGCUGAACCAAAUAUCAAGGAAGACAUCAUGUUGUCCAUACAUCAGAUGAGAGUGACAAUUGAACAUAAUACACAAGAUGGAAUGUGGACUAGGUCUGAUGAAAAAAACUGGAAAAUUUGAUCUUACAAUGAAAGUUAAGUCAUGCAGUCAAAUUAUUGAUGAUUAUCACAUGGAAGUAUUGAUGAUAUUUUUUAUAAUCUCAAAGUUCCUUCAUAACAUGGAGCUGGUGGAAGUGCAAGGUCUUUGUUUCUACUUGAAGCAGCACCAAAGAAAACAAGGGAGGAGGAAGAAAAGUAGGACUUGGCUUGCUUAAAUUUUUGGCUAAAGAAUGAAAUACCUGCCUUGAAGCCAAGCGGGACACGCAAUCGCGAUCGAACCCUCACACCUCUCCCUCUCUAAUUCACAUGGUGGGGAUAGCCUUUUCGAGCACCCAUCCAUUUGGCUUUGGAUCCAGUGGGCCCGGGACUCCACUCCUGCCAGGUCAAACCAUUGACCCAGUGGCAGCUCAGCUGUCUCACCUAGAACAGCAAACAGACCUCUACUAUUGUGUUACUGAUUGGUCAUGGCAAAGAGGUCACCCAACCAUCAGUGAACAAAAUGGCUGGUUGCUGAGUGAGAAGAGUGAAUGGACCACCUUUACAACUUCCCUUGAGGGGACCCACCAAAGGAAAGCACGAGAUCAUCAGAAACAGAGGUCCCAAUUGCAAAAACAGAAGCAAGGUAAGCACCAAUAUCACUGAACCAAAAGUUUUGACUGCUGCUUCACCUGUUCAUUUCUAUCAAAAUCUACCCCAUUUCCCUCCCCAAGGGAAACAGUGGAUCCUAAGAACAGGUCCAACCAAAACCAGGAUCAGAGAUAAUGAUUACUGAGCAUAGGCAGACCUAAUCCUGCCCAUGGGCAUAAGCCGACAAAGUAAUCCAUCCAAGAGGGAAGGUUGGCUUAGUGCCUGUAAGACCUUUUACAAUACAGACCAGCAUAAAUUGAAUAAAACCUUUCAUUCCAAUUUCAAUGCAUUUGGUUUGCAGUCCAAAUGGAAAUAUAUUGGAAUGAAAAUCGAAAUGGCUGAAUUUCUCAAAACAUUCAGUUCAUAAUUGAAAUCGGAAUAAAAUUUGAAUAUUUAAAAAAAAUGGACUUGAAUUUUUGGGAAUUGAAAUAUUGUCAUUCUCUGCUAAAAUAAGUGUCACUCGUUCCCACCGGCAAAGACCAUUCCGCAAGGAAGGCUGCUCAGUCCAAGUCUAUGAGCAGCACCGGUUGCGUAGCGGCAAAACCAAGACCAAGGAUCACGAGACGAGAUUGUGAGGUGAAAUAGUAAUAUAGCUAUCAUUAAAUAAGGAAAUGGAAUUUAAUCCGUCCAACAUCAAAAGCUGGGAGGAAGCUUGAAGCCGCCUCCUUGUGGGCCUGCAUUUGCCGGCCAUCACAACGACCUCUUCGUCCUCUUUUUGUUGUAGCCACACUAGAUUUUUAUCGAGCAACGCCAAUCUCCCAACUCCAGUUACCUCCCACCUGAAAUAAUUUUGCUGGUCUUGCUGACAAAACCAGUCAACGACUUUUGUCAGAAGCUCCAAAUUUCUCCUCAGAUUAAGAUGGUUCCUGUGGUGCUAAGAAAAAGAUUAAAAAAAAAAAUCAUCGAGUUGUAAGAACCUUGGAUUCGGAAGAUCAUAAGGCUGCCAAUAAAAGCAUUCACAAGAAGCCUUUGACCAAGAAGGCAAAUAGAGGCUGCCCCUUUGACCAAGAAGGCAGAUAGGGGCAGAUAGGGGCAGACGUGCAGCCUUUAGAAUAUCCAAGGCCUGCUCGGAAGAUAUCAGACCUUAGAAAGAUGUGGCUGAUUUAGUAAUCUGCUCUGCUCUGUGACAGCUCCUUGCAAGCAGCCACACUCUCGACCCCCAAUGAAACGAAAUGCUUUUAUUCAUCAACAGAUACUUGAGGAGGCCAUCGAAUGAUAUUGGAAGGAGACGAAACGAAGGGCAACUCGAAGAAGAAGGGGAGAAGAAGAUGGAGAUGCUGUCCCUUUGCGCCGGGGAGAGCUCACAUGCUUGCGACCAAGGCUGUUUUGCAGCAGCUUUCCAAAGCCUGAUGGAGCCUGGCAAUCCCAAGCAGCGGACGACGACGACCACCACCACCACAACCAGGAUCUCCAGAUCCAAUUUCGCCAAGUCCACCGCUUCAUCUCUGUUCCCGAACACCCACUUCACCAACCAUGAGUCCCUCCCUCCCCUGCCUGAUGCCUUCUCCAGCUUCUCGGCAGCAUAUCCGCAGUACACCGAGACCCAGAGAGCAGACCACAUCAGAGACAGAGAGUACCAUCACCUCAUGAAUCAUGUCUGCCUGGAUUACACCGGGUUCAACCUCUUCUCCCAUGCGCAAAUGCACUCCUCCGCGGCGUCCUCGUCCUCCGACCCUCCGCCCUCGGCCCUCCUGCAGCCCCCUUUCUUCAACAUCUCUUACAAGUCGGCCAGCCUGAAGUCUCAUCUGCAGUACGGCAACCAAGGGAUGGCCCUGGAAUCUGCAAUCAGAAGGAGAAUCAUGGAUGUCCUCAACAUAUCAGAUGAGGAAUACUCUAUGGUCUGUGCUGCCAAUAGGACUACUGCCUUCAGGCUUUUGGCAGAAUCUUACCCGUUUCACACCAACAAGAGGCUGCUCACUGUGUAUGACUAUGAGAGCGAGGCAGUUGGUGCAAUGGCAGAAAGCGCCCAGAAGAAAGGAGCAAAACUCAUAUCUGCCAGCUUUUCCUGGCCAGGCCUGAGGAUUUACUCGGCCAGAUUGAGGAAGAAGGUGAGCAAGAGAAGGAAGAAAAGGCGAGGCCUGUUCGUCUUCCCACUCCAAUCCAGGAUGACCGGGGCCAGGUAUCCUUAUCUAUGGAUGGCCCUGGCUCAGGAGAAUGGCUGGCAUGUGGCGCUUGAUGCAUGCGCAUUAGGCCCCAAGGACAUGGACACCCUGGGACUCUCUUUGAUCAAGCCGGACUUUGUCAUCUGCUCCUUCUUCAAAGUAUUUGGCGAAAACCCGUCCGGGUUUGCCGGCCUUUUCAUCAAGAAGUCCAGCGGUGCAGUCUUGGAGACGUCGGCGAUUGCCAAGAGCAUUGGGGUUGUGAGCAUCGUCCCAGCAAGAAGCCUGUCUCAAUUGCCAGAUGAUUGCUCUGGUACUGACUUGGAGGCCCAAUCUUCUAAGUUCCAAUUGGAAGAGGAUGAUGCAGAGACCACCAGUUCAUUCUCUGGUCCAAUACCUACCCGCAUCUGCAAUGGUUCUUCUCUUGCAGAUAAUGGGUUGGCUGAAAACCCUUCGGGCGUUGAACAGAUUCAAAUCAAGAAAUCUGAGCAGGGUGAGACUUCUCAAAUACGCGGGCGAAUGGUUAGCAAAGAAGAAGAAGAAGAAGAAGAAGAAAAUAGCAGAACCAUCACCGGAGAUUGUAGAAUUAGAAGAUGGUAACUCUGUUCGGGUGGAGAGGACUAAAGCAAACAGGGAAGUAGAUAAGAGCAUGGAGAUUGAAUGCAGAGGAUUAGACCAUGCAGACUCUUUAGGCCUGAUACUCAUCAGUAGCAGACUGAGAUGCAUCACUAAUUGGUUGGUUAUCGCACUGAUGAAGCUCCGGCAUCCUCACUCAGAAAAUGGUCAUGCUUUAGUUAGGAUCUAUGGGCCACGAAUAAAAUUUGACAGGGGUCCUGCGUUAGCAUUCAAUGUGUUUGACUGGAAAGGAGAAAAGGUGGAGCCUGCACUUGUCCAGAAGCUAGCUGAUAGAAGCAACAUUUCUCUUAGCUGUGGGUUCAUACACAACAUCUGGUUCUCGGAUAAAUAUGAAGCAGAGAAGGAUGCAGUCUUGGAAAGAAAGGUCAGUGAAACAACAGUAGCCAAUAGAAGGAAAGAGAGCAUUGAUCUUGGGAUAAAUGUUGUGAAUGCUUCACUUGGUUAUCUAACUAAUUUUGACGAUGCUUACAAACUUUGGGCUUUUAUUGCCAAGUUCCUGGAUGCAGAUUUUGUUGAGAAGGAGAGGUGGAGAUACAUGGCUCUCAACCAAAAAAUGAUUGAGGUUUAAAUGAGAACACAACUUGUCCAUGUUUGACUGAGAUUUCUGCUGGAGGUUUUCAAAUACAACAUUCAAAAUUCUUUCAGCAUAGAACCAUUCAUGCGUAGACUGUAAUGCUGAUGUUUUUUUCGAAAUAAUGUCAGCCAUUCAUUUAUUCUUUGUCAAAAAAGUGCACUUGUUAUAUCAAUGACCACCAAUACAACUGAAUUACAUGCACCACAAGAUUUUUUUAUUUUGUGCGGAGUCAUUUAAGGUUGAAGAGGACUGGUUAAAGUAUACAAAAUUUUAUUGCUGAUAGGAUGUUCUGUGCCCUAGAAAAAUUUUGUUGAUGUUGUCGGCUAUUCAUAUAUUCCUUGUGAAAUAAGUGCACUUGUUAUAUCAAUGACCACUAGUACAACUGAAUUACAUGCACCAUAAGAUUUUCUAUUUCGUGCAGAGUCAUUGCUAAGUGAACCCUUCCUCUGUCAACGCCCAAGUCACAAAGCCUAUUAGAGUCAAUAUGUGCCCGCUCCAUCCUAGUUCCUAAAAUCUAGUGUACUUGUUAGCGUUUGUUUAAAACAAUCUGGGAGCAACCUGGCCAACAUAACAAAAUCAGAUCCCCAAACAGUUCCUCUGUAUCAACAAAAGCACAAACAAAUCCAUUUCAAUAAUUCGGAGCCCAAGUAUUUCCUGCUACAGAAAAAAGGGCAGCCCACCACACGAGACUUCUACCGCUGUGGGGUCAAAUAUAUGCAGCCUUACCUCCCCGUGCGGAGAGGUUGUUUCUGUGUUCCAAACCUUUUGACACCCAGGUCAUAGUAGAGCAACCUAACCUUUGUGCCAAGGCUCGUCCUCAACUUUCUGCUACAAAAAGGCUCAAAAAACUCUUGUAGGUCUAUAUCACUAUAUGCAAGUAAAAUAUGCCCAACCUAACUCAGAUCAAAACAUUAAACUCCAAAAGGAAUGCUCAUGCUAUCUUAUCCUAGUGGUUAUCUAACCUUAAUUAUACCAAAAUUAAGACAAACUAAAAAAUAGAAUGAAAAAGGAAAAGUCAAGUUUCAUGCCAAUUCUGAGGUUCCUACCCAAUAUCCUCUACUGAGGGAAUCUGUUCAUGAUAAAAUCUGGCAACAAUAAGGCCUAAUUAAAAGAAUUAAGACUUCAAGAAUAGCAUGCUCCGCAUCAGCCUAGUUAAAACAAGCCCCAUUCAGCAAGUCCAACCCCCCAAAAGGUCUACCUAUGUUAUGCUUGAACCAACUUAGUUCAUGUCAUAUGGGAAAGAGUCUAAAAUGUUAUGAGUGUUGGAACUAGCAUUGUUAGGGUAACCCUUUAUACCACACAAAAUUUCCAGGGGAAGCAGAAAGCAUCAUGAUUGAUCUAAGCUAAGGAUCAAAACAUAAACCUAAUAUAGGUCCCUAAACAGACCUGAAUUUGCAGAUCAAACCUAAGUCAAAAGGCUAAUACAUUUUUUAAGCAAUCUCAUCUAAUAUAAAAUUUCAGAUUCUUGAUAUUUGGGACCUAUAUUUAUUCUAAACAAUAACUUCAGGCUACUGAAAUUAAGUUAAGGUUAACUAGAAAUCGAGAAUGAAUUUGAUAAGAGGAAACUGUGAGAAGUUUGUUAGAACACCAGUUCAAUGUUCAAAGCUUUAUUAUCUCAAAUUGCUAGAACAAAACUAUACCUUUAAGACUCAAUUGCUAGACAUUUUAGAAAGAAAAGAAAAACAGAAAACCCUAAUUCAAACUUGGAAGUAAUUUCAAGCAUUGAUUUUUGGCCUUCAUAAUGUUAUAAAUUCAAAGCAUUAGCCAUUCACUUCAUUUGUAGGCACAUGGAGUAGUUGGUAACUUAAAAUUAACCAAGGUAUCUAAAAACUCCUUCCCAUAUUGGCCUGUCCAAUAAGAUGCUGUUCGGAUGCAAGCUCAAUCGAUUCUAUCGGUAGCCGGCUGAUAAUGAAUGUAGUCAGUCCCCUACCUUGCACUUUUCUAACAUCCUCAAACAUCAACAUUCUAUCUAUAUAGAGUAAACUAACUAAAUGACUUUACUUCCGGAGCCCGGCUUGCAUCACUCAACAAGCAACUACACUCUUUGCUCGGCUCCAUAACAACAUACUGAAAUGGUACCGAACGUACAACGCCUCAAGUCAUUGUGAAAGAGGAAAAGAAGAUGAGGCUAAGAGGAGAGGAUGUAAUUAGGCGCAUCAUUAUAUAAUAUAAUAUGUCUCUAUCCAUAGUAGUUUAGCCGAAGUCAAGGGCAACAUUCUAUCCUUGAAAGUAGACCAAGAUCGGUGUGGAUAGAGGGUUAGCACAUGCAGCCGAGCUGGCGAGCGCUACAGUUAUGAGCCCACCUAGAGGUGACAGGAAUAUCUGGGGUUCCUCUUUGACUCCUUCUGCGUUUAGGUACGCGACGAUACCGAUGGCAUCCUGGGAGCCCCCAUCUCCCAGUUUCUUCAAGGUGAAUUUUGACGGUAGUAUCUCAGAGAGUGGAAGCAGAUGGGGCGUGGGUUUUGUGAUCAGAGACCACGACUCCGGGCUGAUUGCAGCAGGAGGACGAUAUAUCUUUGAUGUGUCUGUCCCAGUAGCAGAGUUGCGAACGGCAUGAGAUGGUCUCAUUUAGGCCAGAGUGCACCUGGGUGCUCGGCAAGUCCUACUAGAGGGAGACUCGGCUAUAGUGGUCGACUGGAUUCGGAGCGGACGUGUCAGGCUAGAUCUGCACCCUCUUGUUUAUGAUAUCUGCCAUCUUGUGGGGGAACUAGACUCGUUCUGAGUUGUGCACGUCUUUCGGGAGGCAAACAGUGCGGCGGACUGAGUCGCCUCUUUUGCAGCGCACCACUUUGAGGGUGUCCUCUGGAGGGAUUGGAGCACGUGCCGGUGGCACUAGAGCAUAUAAUACUGUGAUCAUUCUAGGCGUACUCACGAUUGAUGUAGUGAGUCGCCGGUACAACAAAAAAAAGAUCAAAAAAAUGGAGUUGGCAAAUUUAGAGCCCCUUCUUGGCUACUGGGCCAGCUAGUGAAAGCAGCAGGAGGGAGGCGCACGCCAGGACUCACAGUCGGUCAGUGGAUGGUGCAGCUGGAGGGGUUGGAUUUGUGAUCAGGGACCACCUUGGCAGGUUGAUAGCAGCAGGAGGGAGGCGCACGCCAGGACUCACAGUGGUUGGGGCAGAGUUGCAGGCAGCCUGGGAGGGUAUAUCCUAUGUGCGGCAGGUACUUGGUGCGGAGCGGGUCUGCCUUGAGGGAGAUUCAUCUGUGGUUAUCGACUGGAUCCGAGGGGCGGACCAGUUUGGGGAUGGUCACCCCCUCAUCCGAGAGAUCCGUAGGGUGGUGCUGCUGUUGGGCGAUGUUCAGAUAGGACAUGUGUUCAGGGAGGCGAACAGGGCUGCAGACUGGGUCGCCUCUUUUGUUGCUCGGCACUCCGGAGAUUUUACUUGGACGUCAGCUUCUGAUGUUCAUCCUUUGUUGCAUCUUUUACUUUCCCGUGAUUUAGCAGGUUGUACUCACGUUAGAGCAAUAUGAAAUGAGUAACCGCUUUUACCAAAAAAAAGCAGCAGUACUACCUAUCGUGAGUACUAGUGAAAACAAGUAUCGGUACUAAGCAAGAGAAGAAAAGCAGCAAUGCAAUUGAUAGCUAGAUAGGAGAGGCUAAACGCAAUUACUAAUCAUGUGCCAUCAGUGCGAACUGGAAAAUUAAGAUGAGACCUAAACUUGUCCACAAUAUCCUCAUCCGUGGCAUGCCCCUAUAUAAUUCUUCCUGGCUAUCCCAACUUUGGAGCUGAAUUUUUCUCUGAAUGAUGCACGAUGUUUACUUAAAGGAAACAGCAUUGGUGGUAACAGGUUGGCCAUAACAUCUUUAUCAAGACUCUAGUUUGCAUGAUUCUACGUGCUUCUACAAGAGGCUAUCAAGUACUUAGCCUUGACUUAAAACUCCAUAUAGCUCUUCUUUUGGUGAACCAUUAUUUCAACCCACUAAUGUCACAGGUCAAUAUGCAUUGCUUGAGGGUGAUGGCCUUGUGAGGUAGAGCACUAGGGUAAAUGGCCAUGUACAAGCAAUGGUACGGAACAAGGAAUGAGGUUUCUUAGGAUAUUGUAGGCUUUAGAUGAUUCCUAGCUGGGACUGGGAAAAGAACCAGAUCUAAAUACUCCCAAUUAAAGUACGAAAAGUGAGUUCAUGUAGCUAACCUAGGGUUUCCGGGAGGUUUCAAACCUAUGACAAGGAUUUCUAUGAAUUCAAACUAGGUGAUCAAAGGGCAGAUAUCAGUAUUCAGAUUUAAUAAUUUAGAAGUGAACAAAAGUUUUCUUCAUUAAUCAAGCUUUGAUUACAGCAAAAAUCAUAUUCAGGCAUUCAGCUAUGCAGAAAUUUAGCAGCUAAGAAGAAUAACAGCAGCAAACUAAUAAACAAAAUUGAGAAGGAUGGUACUUUAUUAUAUCUGAUUUUGAUGCUAUGCAGAAACUAAUCUACAUUACAGAUAAACCAGCAAAUGGAGGAAUACCAGUAGAAAUAAAUAAGGGAAAAGGUAGUAGAAAGAGAAGAAAUAAGAUGGAAAAAAAGAAGAAAAAAUAGUUAAGAGAAGGAAGUGAAAUUGUACCAGGCAUUUGCUUAUUUCUCAGUGAUAUUUUAUGUGCAACGUUUUGUACAUCCAAUGCAGUCCACUAAGAAAGCCAACUAACUCCUAUUCUUUCAUAUUUUUGGAGUCUUAGACUUACAAUCUUGGACUCAGCUGGACUUUCCUAAUAGAAAAUGGAAGGAAGAAAUGGCUUUUGUUAGACAUCAGUAUUCAUGAGAUUGUAGCAUAAAAAGUGCAAAAAAGUACAUUUCCCUUAUUUCAUUUACAUCAAAUAAGUCCUGAACUACCGCCACACUCAAACACAAA
rnacentral:lncRNA from 1 species